rnacentral:lncRNA from 1 species
CCAGUUGGAUACAAGAACUUUGAUGCGGUCAAGCGAGCGCAGAGGGUUAGGGGAGAUGGAUUGAAAGAUAGUUUUGUUUCGCUCAUUCCAGACGAUCUACCAAAUUGCUGUCAAUUAGGAUAGUCUCUUCCUUCUUGUUUCGCUGUUUCCUUGGUUGGAAAUUGUAUCCCAGAGGACUCGGGCUGUUUGCUGUGGGUAGAGAUGUCAACGGGUCGGAUUCGGGGCGGGUUUGUAAAAACCCGAACCCGAACCCGACUCCAAACCCGAGACCCGAACCCGAACCCGAACCCGACGGAUUUUAAAAAUCCAUAUCCAAAUCCGAACCCGACCAAAAAUCCGAAACCCGAACCCGAACCCGAACUCGAAAAUUUGAACCCGAAACAAUUAUUUCUUUUUUCAAUAUUUCAAAAUAGAUUAUAUUAAAUCUAAAUUUUUAAAAUACAAAUUUAAAUAUAACAUCAAAUUUUUAUAUAUAUAUUAUAUAUAAUACAAAAUAAAUUCGGGUUCGGGUCGGGUUCGGGUUCGGGUCGGAUACAAUCAAAAUCCAUAUCCGAAUCCAUAUCCGUCGGGUUUCUAUUUUUGAUAUCCAUAUCCGAAUCCAUAUCCAUAUCCAUCGGAUAUAUCCGUUUCAUUCGGGUUCGGGUUCGGAUAAAAUUUCGGGUAUCCAUACCCAUUGACAUCCCUAGCUGUGGGUCGGCUAGCAGGACCGGAUCUUCAGUGUUGAAGAGUAGGUAUUUUACGUACACACAGUUUCGGAAGAAGUGGUCACGCGUUUCGGGCGUUGCUUGGCCUUUGAUCAAGCAAACGAGAAAAAGCAACCAUUGACAAGUACUGUUUGAAGAAACGGAUCAUUGCAAACUCGAGGAGCUUAACAGCUACGUUUUAGUCAGCGGAUAUCUAGAAGAACUUUUCCCAUUUUGUCCUUUUCCCAAGGUAGUAACUAAAAUUUUGUCAACCAAAAAACCAAAAGUUAGGAAUUUAUAAAUAAAAGAUUUUGACUCCAUUUUUUCUAAAAAAAAAAUUAUGCACGUUCCUAGAUAGUAAUACUUUGUUGACGAAUCAAUGUACAUAAUAAUGAUUCAUGAAGGGAUUUACUAUAAAUGAUUAUCAUUAAUGUUCUUAUUUCUUACAGUUUAAUCUUAAAAAUUCUCAUUUUACAUAUUCAUUAAUCCAAUUUUAGAAGGGUAAUUGCGUUGAAGGUAUCUUAAGGAACGCCCUAUAUUUUUCAAUAUUCCGUCUUGUAGUAUACAAAUGAAAUUGGACAUGACGCAUCGUACUACCAUUAUUCCUAAGUUUUUUAAGAUGGUACCUGUAGCAGUAGUAACUAGUAAGAUACCGUAAAGAGAAUAAGUCUUUGUUUAAUUAUUUGGUUAGCAUAAGUAAUAAGCCUAUGUUGACACCUUAUUGAUUUGAGCUCAUAUAAAAUUGCAUCUCCACUUCAAGUUUUUGCGGGUAGGUGAGGUAGUUUAGUAGCUUCUAAAGUUUUCAACUUAAAAAUAGUUUUGAAUUGAGAGAGUCCAACAUACGAAUGCUAUUGUAUAUAUAUCAGUUAUUAAAAAGAAUAAAAAAUGUGAUUUACCCGUAACCAUCAGGAGUCAAACUUAUCACUUUCCUCGGUCAACACGCGCCACCUCCGCCACUACUCAAUCUCCCUCAAUCUCCAAACUCCUCUUCUCGUUCUCCCUCCGCAGAACCCCUCCUCUCUCCUUCGCCGAUUCCCGUCACCUCCCUGUACCCGGUCAGGAUGAUGCUCCGGCGGUGCGGUUACCGCUUCUUCGUCGUCGUCGUCGCCAUCGUCGUCCUCCUCGUGGUCGCCGCGGCGCUGUCAGAGGCGAGUGGGGGGAACGCGACGUGUCCUUACGACAUCGCGGAGGCGUCGGGGAUGAUCCCGGCGGCGUGCUACGCCAACGCGACCAACGCCGCCGCGUCGGCGGCCACGAGCUGCUGCUGGUUCGUCGUGGGCUCCUACAUCUUCGCGGCGGCGCGCUACGCCAACCUCUCCGGCGCCGCCUUCCUCCCCGCAGCCGACUCCUCCGCCUGCUCCUCCGCCUUCUCCUCCUUCCUCCUCGGCAGCGGCCUCGCCUCCCCCUCCCUCUUCAACGGCUCCUGCGACCUCUCCUCCUCCUCCUCCUCCACCGGCGGCGGCGGAGACCUCGCCGCGGGGGCGCGGCCGUGCCAGUACGCGUCGGUCUCGGAGCUCCGCGCCGCCGCGCCAGCGGCGCUCGACAACGCCACCGCGCUCUGCGCCGGACCCUCCGCCUCCCCCGACCUCGUGGCGGACCAGGCCGGGUGCGCCGCGUGCCAGACCGCCGUGAUCGGCCUCACCUUCGCCCUCCUCGGCGCCGCCGGCCCGAGCGCCGAGCCCGUCCCCUGCGGCAUGGCCGCCACCAUCGGGGUCUGGUCCCGCUCCCGGCCCUCCCUCCCCCGCUUCCGCUCCUACGCCCUCUGCAUGGUGCAGGUCCUCGAGAACGUCAACACCCUCGGCGGGGGCGACUUCGUCCCCUCCCCUCCCCCUCCCCCUACCCCUCCCCAUACCGCCUCCUCCAGGUCCGUCAAGAUCGCCGCCGGAUCCGCCGCCGCGGCCCUGGCCUCCGUGGCGGCGAUCGUCCUCCUCUCCAUCUCCAUCUACAGCGCUCACCGCCGGAGAUCCUCCGUCGCCGACGAUCAGGCCCCGGCGGCCGGGGCGGCGCCGGUCCUCCCGACCGACGGGCUGUACAUCUUCACCGAGGCCGAGCUGCAGCAGGCGACCGAGGGCUACGACGACCGGCUCCUCCUCGGCGAGGGCGGCGCGGGCAAGGUGUACCUCGGGAGGCUCCCCAGCGGGCAGCACGUGGCGAUCAAGCGCAUCUACCGCGACCGCAAGAUCGCCGAGUUCUACCGCGAGGUCGAGAUCCUCGCCAAGCUCCGCCACCGGAACCUCACCACCCUCCUCGGCUACUGCGCCGCCGGCCGCGGCCGCCACGUGGCGCUCGUCUACGAGUACAUGGCGGGCGGGAACCUCUCCCGCGCGCUGUUCGGCGGGGAGCUGGCGUGGCGGCGGCGCCUCCGGAUCGCCGCGGACGUGGCGGAGGGGCUGGUGUACCUCCACGAGUUCCCCGAGGGCGCCGUCGUGCACCGCGACGUCAAGCCCACCAACGUCCUGCUCUCCGCCGCCGCCGCCGACGCCGCCGCGAAGCUGUCGGACUUCGGGGUGUCGAGGAUGGUGCCGCACGAGGGGACCCACGUGUCCACGGAGGUGCGGGGCACGAUGGGCUACGUCGACCCGGAGAGCUUCUGCGUCGGCCACGUGUCGGAGGCCGCCGACGUGUACAGCUUCGGGGUGGUGCUGCUGGAGCUCGUCACGGGGAUGCGCGCGGUGGUCCCCACGCCCUCGGGCGGGGCCGAGUCCAUCGUCCACGCCGCGCACGCCGCGGUCCAGCACUUUCGCGCGGGAUCGGACGGCGCCGACGACGCGGAGGAGGGGGCGGUGGGCUCCAUCGUGGACCCGCGCCUCGGCGCGGGGUGGGACCGCGCGUCCGUGGCCGCGGUGUUCCGCCUCGCCUGCCGCUGCGUGCGCCCGUACAAGAACGAGCGCCCCCGCAUGGCCGAGGUGCUCGCCGCGCUCAAGGCCACGCUCGCGGAUCUCGAGGCGAGGUCCGAAGGCCGCGCCGCCGCCGCCGCCGCAUCGGAGCCGUCCGUCACCGAUGAGUCGUCGUCGUCGUCGUCGUCGGCGCCCUCGGCGUCGCGCACCUCCACGGCCUCGGCGCACGGGUGGUCGUCGUGAUGUAAUCCGACGGGCCCGAUCGACCCCACGCAGGUUGACGGCUUUUGCUUUUUUUUUUUUAAUUAAAAAAAAAAGAAAAUAUUUAUUUUUUACUUCGUAUAUCAUCAUCGGCGACGGCGAUUCGAGCUCGACCGCGUGAUUUUGGCGUGUAGCGGAGUUCUGCUGACGUGGCAGGGCCGCACGCGGUAUAGAAAGCUCGGCCCCCGUCCGUUUACUCGAUCAUCUGUGUCCGUACAACCAUGAGUGGGGCCGGGGCCUGGGCCUUGGCCCUUGGGGGAGUUAAAGAAAGAGAUUCGACUUGUAAGUUGUAAAUUGAUAUAAUAAUAAUAAUUAUUAUAAGAAUUAAGCGAGUAAAUUGUAAUAAUAUUGUUAUUAGAACAUAUUUAAAUGUAGCGGCUCAAGGAUCUAAUGGAAACUGGUAUCAGCUACAUAGUAACACGUAUAAACAAUGAUAAAUGUAUUAUAAAUGUUGCUACUUGAUUGAUCUGCUAAGAAACCCAUUUUGGAAUGUUAUCAAUCAUCCAGUGAGUGCAUAUAACAUGAUAUAUAAAUUAUAAAUUAUAAAUUAUUAUUCAGUAUUUGAAAAAAGUAUAGAAAUGCAGAGAACUAUUCUUCAGAAUUCCAAAAAUACGUGCUACAUAUAACUGGUACAAAACUAUACUAAAAAAGAGUCAUAAAACAAGCUUGAUUUUGUGAUCUUGUAUAAGAUAGAAGAUGUGUGCUUUGUCACCGUUCUAACUAACGAAGAACAUCGACGCAUUAAAUUUUAACUGCUGAUAAAUAUAUACAUGUAUAUAUAGGACGAAUUCAAGGGAGUGAUCGAUCACUGGAUUAAUUAUAUCCUUUCUCCAAUUCAGUGUCCCUAUCAUUUCAUUCAUAGCUAAUAUUUAAUAUCUAGCUAUUACACUGGUAGUUGGUAGUUGUACAAGUAUACAUAUCAUUCCCUACACUUUCUCUAUUAUAUGUUAAUUUUGGUGUGACAUUAACUUAAUAAAUGUUUUGCACCACCCAAAUUAACCUCCAACAACAUUAGUCUUUUUCGGAUCAAUUGGUGGGCCUUUUAAUUGAUGCCAACCCCUGUAUUUUGUCUUAAUUAAAGUUGCGGUCCUCAAAGAAGGACAAGUCAUGCUCAUAAAUUGGUCACAAAUUGUAUACAAAAUUGACAUAGUUUUCCUCGUAAUGGUUACUAAAAAUUAGGUUUUUUAUCGUACGUAAUUAGGAGACUUGGAAUAUGUAGGAUGACGCAAUACGGGAUAUUACUUUUUUUUUUGAGAAAAAGAUAGCAUGCUAUACGCUUCGUUCAUCUCUUUUAGAAAUAAAUUUAGCUGAAAAUAUAAAUUAAUUAUAAUUCAAACUUGAAACUUAAAUUUAGCUGAAAAUAUAAAUUAAUUAUAAUUCACACUUGAAACCUCGGGAAUCAAUCACCAAAUUUUUUUGUCACUUGCACUAGGGACGGUCAGUUGAGGCAAUUUAUGUUGGUUACAAAACAAAAACAAUUUUUGUUGUUUACCAAACAAAAACAAAGAAAAAGCGAGAAAGAGGAUGAAAAGGAGAGGCAAGAGAAAAAAAGAAAGAAAGGGGGGGAGAAAAAUUUAAUAAGCAGAUCACGUUAGUUGAGAAUAGUCGAAUAAAGAAAUUACAAUAAUUUAAAAUAAAAAAGAAGAUAAGAGAAGUUGUUUUCAAUGAGGUUUUACUACUAGAGGUAAUGGUAUUUUGAUUGAUUUGCUAUAGCUUAUAAGAGGAAUUACACGAAAAACUGUAGGGCCUGCACAAGGACGCAUUGGAUGAGGAUUUAUCUAGAAAGUUACAGCUAUUUAAACUUAAAAAAAAAUAUUACUUUGUAAAUAUUAACCAAUUUUACUUCUAAAAAAAUUUUAGUUUAAUUUUAUGAAGUUCGAAUAUUUAUAUUUAAAACAGUUGCUUUCUUAAACAAAGAAUUGACUAAUUUUUGAGAAAAAUAAGUGGUCAAAAUUUAGUUGGUUUGUGGGAUGUUAAAAAAAAAGAAAAAAGAAAGAAAGAGUUGAGAAGAAUUAAAUUAAAAUAUGUGGUAGUAGGAAAUUAAAAGAAAGUGAAAAAUACUGUCAGAAGUGGGAUUUGAACCCACGCCCUCUCACGAGGACCAGAACUUGAGUCUGGCGCCUUAGACCACUCGGCCAUCCUGACCCAUUUUGUUAAUUUCAUUUAAAGAUUUUAUUUAAACUAUAAAAUUUAGAAUUGGUAAAUUUAAAUUUAAACUAUUAGAGGCCAUUAAAGUAUAUAAAAUUUAGAUUUAAACAAAAUUAGAGGCUAAAUUUAAAUUAACAUCUUACGGUUUCAGUGAAAGUUUAUUAAGAUUCACGUCUAUUAAGCUAUUAGCCAUUCAUAUCUAGUAAUAUCUAUUACUACUCUAUAAGCUAUAAUAUUUAACUUAUUCAUUAUUCAAUUUGACAACUUACUCAAUAUAAACUUGCUUAAAUGAACAAGUUAAUAGUUGAUUAAUUUGUAGGGGUGCCAACGAAAAGGAAAAUAUUUGUAGGGCUUCAGUUUAAGAAAGUUAUAGUUGAGGGGGUUUUUGUACAUUUUUACGUAUUUUAUGGUUCACCACGUCAUCGGAAUCCAGGAAAAAAAAGGACACUACCACCUUCGCCACGUGUCAUACUCGGGUUAGCUCAUGUUUCGUAGACCCGGUUCAUCCUUAAUUCUGUUUAUCUUUUCGGUGUAGAGAAAGCUCCCUUUGUUCUUUUUUAUCAAAUCCAUUUUCCCAACAAAAACCAAAAAAAGGCCCACAAAGUUAAGGCGAUUCCCCAAUCGAAACCCUAGAUCUCACUUCCCAAUCCCUCUACUCGAUCCAUCCGUUUCCUUCUCCCCCUAUCGGUUUCGAUUCGCUCUUCGGUUCAGCGUGCACAUCGCAAUCGUAUUCGGUUCUUUUCAGCUUCCGAUCGAGGGUUUCGGCACUCUCAGUAGAUCGAUUGGGGGCCAAUUUGUGAGAGGUAAGAGGAAUCUCGUAAUCACAGUUGGAUUUGAUGGGAUGUAGUGUUCUAGAUCCGUUUAUGCUUCUGCUUCGUAGGUUUAGGUCACAAAUGGUGUGAACUUUUUAGGUCGAAAUGUACGGACGUUGUGCACUACAGAGCAAUUUGAAAUCGGUACUUGAACUUUUAGAAGUUUUGAUUUUACUUUCUGAAUUUUAAUGUUUUGAUUGUGUUUGCUUACAUUUUGAAGGAAUAUUCUGUAAACUAUCGAGAUCUUCUGCUACUUGUUGGAAUAUUGGGGAGAAAUUGCUACAAAUGCUGUUAGGUCUUAGGUAGUAGAAUCAGAUUAAAUUUUAUAUGCUUAUUUUGUAAAUUCUGUAACUUUAGAUAGUUAAAUCUGAUUUUGAAACUUCGGGAGGUCCUAUUGCAUCUAUGUUCAUGUUUGAUAAAUUCAAACGCAUAUUAAAAUGUUCAUGUUUGAUAAAUUCAAACGCAUAUUAAAAUGUUCAUGUUUGAUAAAUUCAAACGCAUAUUAAAAUGGUAGGAAUAAAUAACUUACAAACACAAGUAGUGUCAUGACAGUUCAUACAAAUAUUAUUAGAUGUCUCUUGUCAAUGAUUGUCUUUGUGGAAAUUUGGAGCAAAUUCAAAUGGAAUAUGGUGAGGUUAAAAGCUCGCAGAAGUGUUUAUCAAGAUUUUUUGGUUUAUUGAUUUUAAAGUUCAUUUCGUGUAAAUGUUAUUUCCCUGAAACGGCGGAGAUCAAGAACAGUCAAGUUGAUAAUUAUUUUGGAUUAUCUGAUGAUAAUUUCUGAACAUUUUAGCUCAAUAGGAAAAUUGAUCCUUUCUGUUCUUUGUAGUGGUGAGUGCCUAGUGCAUUUAUCUUGUUUUCUCUUCUUUCUUGUUUAGAUGGUUUUUUAUGUUUGUAGUUGUUAAACCUUUUUGUGAGGGCAAAUAAGUUGUAGUUAUUGGCUAUUUCACUUAUUAGAGUUGUAGUUGGUUCAAAUUUCAAUCUGCAACUUUCUUAUUAACUAUUACUUACAUGAGGUUAGAAGUUUAUAAAUUUGCAGAAGUUCUCAUCAAAAGAGGGGAAAAAAAACAAAAGGCAAUCAGGGGACUAAUAUGCUUGAAAGGUGAAACUGUGGUUUCCCUGCUAUUAUAUGCAGACUAUAGAAAACUUGGUUUUCUCCUUUCGUUUUUCAGGUUUCCUUCUUUACAUCCCUUUCUUGAGUUGUUGUAUAACUUCUUAACUAGUUAGCUUGGAACGGGUAAUCCUACUUUUGUUCAUAUCCUUUUUCCCUUUAUUUUAUGUCCCGUUCUUCAUCAUAUUUGCUUAAUGCACUCAUUUUCGUACAUCACCUAGAUGGAUGCUGAUGCCGAAAACCUUUAUGGAGCACAAUGCUUGGUUUGCAGAAGGCCUUUUUCUCUGGAAACAGAAAUAAACGAUGGUUUUGAAGCAAUAAAUAUCUGCAGGGAGUGUAAAAUGAUUGUUCUCAACAGUCCUAAUAGAGAUGUUUCUAUUAGAGAUAUUCGUCGAAGAAGGCGGCUAAGAAGAAGAAGAGCAUUGAGAUAUGGAAGCUCCAAUUCAGUGGACAGUGAUUCAUUUUCACAAAGGUUCUCCCAUUUGAUUAAUUUGGCAAGCCAAAGCCAUGAGACAGAUUCUACUCCAAACCGUUCUAGAGGGUGGCAGAGUACAAUCUCCGACAACGAGAGUGAUUCUGUGUUCGGUGAGAGUGAAUCGAACCUCAGUUUCAGUAACUAUGGAGGAGAAUCAGAUACUUCGAUCGAUCAGAAUAGUUUAAUGUACUUCCAACUUGAAAAUGAAAGCUAUGUAUACACUGAUACAGAUAUUGAUCCAAUGCAUGCCGGCUUGGAUCAGUGGAAUUCGGACGACCAAGAUGAAGAAGAAGAUGGGGGGGAUUGGGAUGAUAGAGAAAGCCCUAAUGGCAUUGUAGAGAGAGAAAGUCAAAAUCAAGAUGGUGCUCUUGUUCAUCGGAGGAUGAGGGGGGCUUUCGAAAUGGGUACACAUUAUGCCGACCUGUUUGUCGACUUCGAGGACUUUGAAUUGGAGAUUAGACCAGCAGGUUUCACUGCAGAUCCAGGUGACUAUGUAGACCCUGCACGGUUCGAGGAGCUUCUAGAACAAUUUGCGGAGAAUGAUGCGUCGAGAAGAGGGGCGCCGCCGGCUAGUGCUUCAGUCCUGCUGAAUCUUCCUUCCGUGGUUAUAUCAAAGAGCCACGAAAAGGACGGUAGCUUAAUUUGCCCAGUUUGCAAGGACCCAUUGCCGAUAAACACUGAAGCAAAACAGCUUCCUUGUCUGCACCUCUACCACCCAUCGUGCAUAUUACCAUGGUUAAGUUCAAGAAAUACAUGCCCCGUUUGCCGUUAUGAGCUCCCCACUGACGACAUUGAAUAUGAGAUGGCCAAGACAGAGCUACUGAGCAGGAAUUUGGCCGAGGAGAGUUCUUAUAAUAGAUCUAAUGAUGUGGAGGUCAAUGAAACUCAUGAUAAUAGUAAUGACAGAAUCGCCAGUAGAAUGGCGGAGAGUAGAGGGGAGGCCAGCGGCGACCAAGUCGGGGUUAGAUCGAAUGGCCGGGAUCGGAGAGGCGGCGGGUGGUUGUUUUUAGCUGCAGCUCCGAUAGUUAGUCUUGUCGGUAUCGUUCUAGUAUUGUGGUUCAAGAACCCUCAUGGUAAUAAUAACAGAAGUCGGUGCGACGCUAGAGAACAGGCGCAGGCGGGAAGGCAACUUAGUGGAGCUCAGAGCUCCGUCGCUCGCGGAGAUAGAAAGAGAAGAUGGUGGUCUUUCUUUUAGGUGAUUUGCUUGUUUUUUAUGCUCUUUUAAUCUUCUGAUUGCUUUUUCGUUGCUGGUGUUCUCUUUCGUAUGGUGACUGUUUAAAUAAGUUUCAACUUCGACCUUUGGGAAAUUGCUAAGGUGAGCGUCCUCUCAACUACUGUUUGCAUCGUAUUGUGUAUACUGGGGUUGUGGUGCGAUGGUAAACAAUCUCACUAGAAAACACGGCUGAAAAGAGAGAAUCCUCACCAAAGGCCAAACCUUUGUUUCUUACGUACUUUUAUUACCUCUUAUCCUAAAUCUAGUGCUCCCUAAGAGUGGUUGGAGUACGCUUUUUAUUUUUUAUCUUUUAUUUUCUGCUUAAUCUCUAAGCAACUGAAUGUGAUUGAUUGUGUGUCAUUAUAAAAUUUCAUCUGAUUGAAUGUGUCUGUAGUUAAGAGUUUUGUACUGUUCUUAUUAUUGCCGAUUAGCCUACAUAUAUUUUCACAAAAGCAAGUUAGCUAACAUGGAAUUCGACAUCCAGAGCCAGAUCCUGUCUAUUACAGGCGACUGAGAUUGAUUCCGUCUUUUAUGGACGGUUAAUGCAUUCCCUGCUCAUCAUCGAGGGCACGGUAGGUGCAACCUUCUGUGCAGAAAAUAGGUGCAACCUUCUGUGCAGAAAAUUUUUAUGAGCGGAAUGAUCUCGCUCUUGACGAGUAGAUAUGAGCAGAUAAAAUGUAUUUCGUCAAUGAUGAGCUGUAAAAUUAUUUGUAGCGUCGACGACGUCGGUCAAUCGCCUAAGGAAAUUUCCGAGAAGUAGUUGCCUCAAUAAUGGACUCCACAUGUUCUGGUUGUACCGAUUUCGGUGCGUCCAGGACAACAGAUGAUUUACGGUACGAUACUGCAAGAUCCUGUACGUACAGUACUAUCCAGCUCGAAUCUGGGCCACACAACGCAAAAUGCGCUGGGCCCUCGAUCUGCCACGUGGCGACAGGAUACCGACAAAGAUCUCCACGGACGGACGGACGUCGCUGCACCUUCACUUCACUUCGCGUCCACUCCACUCGACGUCUCGACUCUCGACCGCUCCACCUUCCCACAUCGAUGCCCUUUUCGAAGUUCGAACCACUACCAUUUAAUUAAUCCUUGACCGUCCACUCACCGGAUCCAGCCAAAGAUCGACCGUCCUUUUUGGCGUGUAUCAACUAUCCUCAUAAUCGAUGUGGUAAUAAUUUAUCAUCAGUAGGAUGGAAUACGUUUUUAAUAAAUUUUUAGUAGUGACAGUUUUGGAGGGGAUCCGGCCUAUGAAUUUGAGGAUGAUGUGACGAUCGUUUGGAAUAAUUGGAUGUCGAGAUAAAGAAUAUGCGGACCCGUUUGCAGCAUACAAUAUGAUCAUAUAUUUGAAGAAAUUGUGAGAGAAAUUUAUCCUGACAAAGUAGCUUUAACACCCCUACUCUUUUAUUUUUAUUUUUAUUUUUAUUUUUUUAAUCUUGACUGAGAUAUAUUGGCUCAUCUAUACAGCCUAAUUCAUAAUGAAACAGGUAGCAUGUUAUUAUUUUCUCAAAAAAAAAAAAGUUUAUUAUCAGUGAUCCAACGGUCCAUAUCGAGGGGAUAAAAAAUGGACCCCUGAGAGCCUAUAAAUUUCUUAGCCUCUGCAGACCUAUUGGACUACCUUUUCAGUGUAUUUUAGAUUAGGUAAAAUCAUAUAAAACUUAUUUAAUUUUGGAUCAUUUAAAUUUUUACUACUUAGUUUAUUAUAAAUUUUAAUUUUACUAUCUAUUUUUUUUAAAAUUUAUUCAAUUUAAAUCAGUCAACGAUAUUUUGACUCAAAAAUUUAAACUAAUUACUUACUUUAAUAAAUUUAUAAUUAUAAAAAUUAUAUAAAAUAUGCUAACUAAACUUAUAAAGAUAAACGAUAUAUUCAAAUUUUGAAGUCAAAGUGUCGUUGACUGACUUAAAUCAAACAAAUUGAAAGAUUAAUUAGUAAAUUUAAAAUUUGGUUGGAUAAUUAAAUUCUAAUAGUCUAUAAUUUAGAUAAGUUUCAUAUAUUUUUACCUUUAGAUUAUUAAUAAUUUUUUUUUUAUCGAAGUUAAUUAUUCAGAAUAUUUCUUUAGUAAAAAUAAUUUAAAUUACAAUAUUUAAAAAGUAGGAAAGUAUUAAUAAAAGGGGUAAACUUCAAAUAUCACCCAUGUGGUUUCGCACUUUCUCACUUUAGUAUCUCAUGGUUUAAAGUGUAUCAAGUUAGUAUCCUGUGGUUUUAUUUUUAUCUUUUCGUCAGUUUUUUCGUUAAUAUUUCGUUAAAUUAUAUACAAAAAAAAAUUUAGAUACCUAUAUAGGUUUAUCGAAUAUUCACUUUAGUACUCGUUAGUUUUAACUUUGUCACUAAUUUAACGAAAAAAAUUAGUCGAAUCCAUAAUAAAAAGAUAAAAAUAAAACCACGUGGCACUAAAUUGAUACACGUUAAACUAUAGGGCACUAAAGUGAAAAAGUGUGAAAUCAUGUGGUGGUGUUUGAAAUUUUUUCUAAUAAAAGGAUAUAUUAUUAGACUAAAGUAAUACAGUUUCGUAGCAGUGAGCUGUCAAAAAAUUUCAAUUAAUUUUUUAUUUCCAAAAUUUCUCAAUUAAGUACUACAAAUACCAAACGCGUACUCACCCACUAAUACACCCAACCCCAUAUAGUGUGUGUGUAUAUAUAUAUACACACUGUGCGGCCCCAGUGUUACACUUGUCGGUGCACUCGGUCCACCAAGCGCUUAUAAAAAGAAUUUUUUUAAAAAAGGAAUUUUAAAUUAUUUCCUUUCAUUGAAAACGCCCAUCUAACGUCCGUAAGUUAAUAAAUGUUCUAACGGACGUUAGUGAGCUGGGCAUGUUGGCCCCACCAAUAAAACACCAAAUAUACGAGACCUUUUGUCUCCCUCUGUACCGACCGUAGGAUUAGGAUUAGACGGUUGUGAUCUUUGAUUUUGGGGAACACAGUGAUGUGGAAACUUUACAAAAUGGCCCCCCGUUGAGUAAUCAGAACGUUGGGAAAAAGAGGGACCAAAAAGAAAUAAAAGAUAAAAUUUUAAUAAAACUAUACUUUAUCCAAGUAAUAUAAUUGUUUCUAAAUAUUAGAUACUUAGUUUACUUAUACUAAUUUCCUACUACGCUAAAAAAAAAUUACUAUAGAAUAAAAUAUUUAAUUAUUAUAUUAUAAAAGUUUAGGUAGCGUUUACUAUAGAUUUCAUUUUAUACGCAAAAAGAGCAAACGUAACGGCGUUAAUGCGUGGAGCUGACGCCUCCGUCCACGUAGGACAAAAGUCAGGGGCAGUUUGGGGAAUUCGCAAAUGCCAAGUGGGUUUUAUCAGUGGUUUAUGCGCCACUUCCUCGUGAUAUAUCUUUUUUCUUUUUUCUUUUUUCUUUUUUCUUUUUGGUUUUUGGGUCACACUCCUCUCCUUACUCUCCUCUAGUUUCGUUCUCUAAAAUCUCAUUCUCUCCCCAUUAAAGGCGUCGGAUUCGAUUUGGGAUCUCUACGAUCUCCGCGCGGUUAGGGUUUUCCUUUUGGAAGGGUUCUCUUCGUUUGAAAUCUCCGCAUUUUGGAGGUAAUUUGAGCUUUAAAUCGAUCCGCAUUGGUCGGUUUGGGGAUUUUUUGGUGUUUCCGCAGUUAAAAAGUUUCCAAAAGAGGGAUUUUUCGAAGGAUUUGGUGGUUUAUUGAGUAGAUUGAUCUCCAAAUACACAGGCAUUGCUGAGAUUUCAAGCAAAAGUUAUCAGUGUUAGGGUUUCAUUCCAGCUUAAUGCAGGUGCUGUGGAGAAAAAUUGGGGUUUUUAGCUUCAAAUAUUCUGUUUCUUGGUGAUUUCGUUCCAAUGUAUCAUACACUGGUGCUCAGUUAAUCCUUGUAGAUCAUUUUUUUACUUCGUUUUGCUUUGAUUUGGUUGUGCACAUUGCCUCUUCUUACUACUGAAAAGUACAAUGAGAAGCAUGAAAUAGCUCCAUACUACACCAACUGCUGAAAUCUACACAUACUAUGAAGUUAAAUCCUCAAUUCUCGCUGUUUCUUUCUCUGUUCCUCAUAGUUUUGUCUACACCACUAUGUGAUUCCCAACCUCCUGAAUCUUCUCCUACACUAGCAAGAGAAUUGGAUGCAGUUCUUCAAGACUAUGCAUUUCGAGCUUUCGUCCACCCUAAAACUGGAAUCACUUACGACGGUUCUGUCCCUUCUAAUCUCACUGGUAUUCAGAUCGCUGCUCUAAGGCUUCGGAGCGGAAGUUUCAGAAAGAGGGGAGUUACAAGGUACAAAGAAUUCCAGGUCCCGCCAGGGGUAAUUAUUCAGCCCUACGUGGAGCGCAUUGUUCUUGUUUACCACAAUUUGGGAAAUUGGUCUUCUUUCUAUUAUCCUUUACCUGGUUUUACCUACUUAGCCCCCGUGCUCGGGCUCCUUGCUUAUGAUGCAUCGAAUUUAUCAGCCACCGACGUGCCUGAAUUGGAUUUUGUAGCUUCUGAUUCACCGCUAUUGAUCAAGUUCACAAACUUGAGCCCAGUGUCGGGUGCGGUCAUGGCUCAGUGCGUAUGGUUCGAUUUGGAUGGCGUGCCGGAGUUCAGGGACUUGGUUUCGAGAAAUACUUGCUCUACGUACCGACGGGGACAUUUUUCGAUAGUGGUCAACUCUACAGAGAUUCUCUCUCCUCCAGGGCCGGGUGUAUUUCCAAGUGAGCACAAGAAGAGCUCUAGAGUGUGGAAAAUUGUUGGAGGAGUGAUAGGAGGGUUUGUUGUCCUAGUUCUGGUUGCAUUACUUGUGGUGUGGAUAAGUCGGUGCAAACGGAGUAGAAAAGUGGCAGAAAUGGAAAGGCGGGCGGAGGUGGGGGAGGCAUUGCAAAUGGCACGGGUUGGGGACACCCAGGCACCUGUGGCAUUAGGAAUACGUACACAACCAAGGCUUGAGGAUGAGUAUGUUGCAUAAAUUGAUUUUGUAGGGUCUACAAUUGAUUAAGCCCUAAGUAUAUGUUGUUAGGAUUUGAUGGAGAUAAACUUAAAGGCGAACCAGUAACACGGCAGUGCUCAUUAACAAGGAACAAGUGGGGGAUGUUGAAAAUGUCCAGUAUGUAAAGAAUCAGCAGGUAUUCAUUGGUUAUGUUCCUUUUACCUUUUAUCUUAGUCUUUGUUCAAGAUCAGAUCAGGGCAUUCUUUUGAGGGAGUUAGCCGAAACGAUCUUCAUGGAAUUGUGUCCAUCUAUGAGGAAUUUCCAACCAUCUAUAUAUGGACCUUGGAGACGAAGGCACCCCUAUGUAGUAUUGGUGGUCUGGGCGUAUCUUAAUCAUUCUUUUUGUUGCUGUACUCAAAUCAAGCUUGCAAAUAAAUAUGAGGAAUUAUUCAUUUCUGUUUUUCAAUCGGUGUCGUUUUGGUAUGCUCUUCUUCUCCAUUUACGCUGUUGAUUCUUUAUUACUUUGAAUAUGUUUAAAUGCACCUUAUUACAUUAUUUUUCAAACCGGAAUGUCAAAGGUGAUACCUAAGUAUUCUGAUGAACCAAACCUUAGUGUAAGUUGUCACCAAUUAAGAAACUACUGGGACAAAUAGUCAUGGAGUCAGCUUAACAAAAUUGUGUCAUUGUCUAGGAUUUUUUUUUUCUGUCCAAUAGCCACUUACUUUGGCCAACUUUUGCAAUAUAUCAGGAGAAAUGGUUAUUUUCUUAAACAAUGUAAACCGUAUGUAUAAUGGAAAGCUCCCUUUUAAAUAUAUCACAGCAAACGUGAUCAAUCUUUUAAAAGGAAAAGAUGGCAUUCCACAUGAUAAUACAAUUAUUUUAUGAAAUAUUAGAAUAAAUGUCGGAUGAAUAUUUGGCUAAUAGUAGCAUGUUUGAAGUGGCUCAAGUAAUGCUGUUUGAGGAAGCUAUCGGGAAGAGAAUUAACAACUUGGUCGUCGUUGAUAUCCUCCCUAGUAGCUAGCUUUCCUUUGUGGCAAAAGGAGAAGUUUCUUAUUAGAGCUUCUGCUUAUGGUAUGCUAAAGCUCAUUUAAGCUUUCUUGCUGCUACAAACCUACUUUUAUUUGCCAAGUGCCUAGAUGGUGAUUUUCUUGGAAUAGAUAUGCCGCUGCAAACCUCAAGCAAAAAGGGCACUUGGUGGACUCCCAACUGUCUUCAAUCAAGGUUAGUUUAACUUCAUUUUUACUUCUUUUAGCACCAUGUUAUGGAGAUUUCUCUCAAAAAAAAUGCACCAUGUUAUGGAGAUGAUUUACUAAUGCAUACAUUGCAUUUUUACCACAUUUAGCACCAUGUUGUGGACAUGAUUCACGAAACUAAAAUAAAGAAAACAAAUGAAAAGGUUUCUUUCAAAUUGUGAGGUGAGAGUGAAAGUUUUCAAGUUCAGUUUGUAAAAUAUACUAGUUAAAAGGCAAAAUUUAAGGUCACCUAAGUUGAGAUCUACAUAGUACAAGAAAACCACUGUUCAAUGAAUGAUGCCAAAAGGAAUGCCAACAAGCAUCCAUCUUGGCACUUGUCAUUGUCUAUGUGACUAGAAGAUGUUUGGAAUCUAUAGCAUGUCACCAACCUAUUUGCGAAACUAUAGAGUAUGCAUAAAUACUCAUCAUGUGAUUAAAGUUAUGAUCUGAACCCUCUAGAUGAUUAGCACAAUUAACAAAAUCUAGCAGAUGUCAUAAGAGGUUUUGAAAUCUUUAGCCCUGACAAUAACAUAUUAAAUUAAAUAAACCACGCAAAUAUGCAUGUUAUAUUGUCAUUAAAUUAAUUAACACUCAGUCAUGUCAUUAAACUGAGGAUUUGAACUAUCUAGGUGAUUAAUACAUUAAUAAAGUUUAGCGGAGGUCAUUAGUAGUUUAAAAUAGUAAGUCACUGGAACGUAGUUAAAGAAAAAUAGAAAAGAGAUAAACAUAGAGACAUUCUUCUGGUUAUGUAAGUUUAAAAUUUGAAAUCAAACACUGAUACAAGGUGUGACUAGGUUUAUUAUCAUGUACAACCCUAUCUAUUAAGACAAACAAGGAUUUUGUUUCACUUGUUGAUAUAAAUUUAUUUUGCCGUACCUAAGUGAUAUAAUAAUGUGUACAAUGUAUGAGUAUUAUGGGUACAUCGAAAAUUCAUAGUAGAUUCUGGAAUCACACUUCAAAAAGAAAUAUACCACAAAUAUUUUUAUAGUUGCGCUACCACUAUUCCAGAGUAUACAUGGAGGCUUCGUAUAUACAACAGGGUUACCUCCUACAUACGACAUUUACAAAACGAAGCACUCUUUUACUCUUUGAAUCAAAAGGUCUCAAAAAGCUUCAGGUCAAAAUGAUAUGUCCAAAAGUUUCAGGUCAUAACGGCUUCACCAUAAAGCAGCCUCCGAAUCUGCAGGAUAGAAAGGGCAUAAAGAUUAGGACAAAUCUCAUAAAAACAAGGAGAUGAUUUGAUCAUAAAUGUCAUCAGAUGAACAAUGAGCACUAAAUAAAUGUCCUAGAAAAACAGAAAAAAAAAACUUUGAGAAACUGCAUGAGAAAGCAAGCAAAAAUAUGACAAGCCUAGCUAGUGAUAAGUCAUUCACAUCUAAAAUUUAUGUCUACAAGUAUAUUUAGGAGAAUUACCUGAGGUAGUUUUUGUUUAAAAGCAAGGUCCAAUCUUGCAUCCAAGGUGUUCUCACACAGAAUCUUUCUAUCCUGUGAUGCUAUAACAAUGCCUCCGGAGCUGCUUUUAGCCGAAGCCACGGAAACAACAAGAACACUUAUUAAACUCUAGAACCAGCAAUUCCAUAUGAUAAAACUCAGAAUAUGACAACAAACUGUGUUUCACUAAAGCAACAGGGUUGAUGAGUGUGUUAUAGAAGAGGUGUUGUGAUCUGCAAGAGCCAAUAAGAGUCUCUUUUACUUCCCAGAACGUUUAGACAACUCCUAUUUGGAUAAAUCAAUUGAUAGUCGAGGAGGCGUCGAAUAUUUCGAGUUGUAAACAACAACAUACAUCGAGAAUCUAGAAACUAAUUAAGAAGGUAGUCUACAAUAUAAAUCUUGAAGAUAGUAAUCCAUGUAAAAUACGAAUUUAAAGAGAAAAUGGGUGAUGGAGAUGCAUGGAUGUAGUGAGAUACCAAAACUGCUCCUGACACUCAUGGUGGGUUGGAGGUGAAGGAAGGUACACUUUCUCAUCAACAGUAACCUUUGGAGGAUGAACUUUUGCUCUCCUUGCGUAUUCUUGUGCAGCUUCAUCCAGUAUAGAUUCGACCAAAUAGCGAUCAAUCUCUCUACACCAUAGCAACACCGAGGGCUCUCUCAUAAGCACCAAGCUCUGGAGAUAAACAUAAAACAGUCCAGUAGAACAGUUCAAUUAAGGGUAUAUAUAUUUCUGUAAGCACAACAGUAUAAAUCUGACAAAUCGAACUUUUGAAGGAAAUAGAACAACAUUGAAAUUUUGUUUGGACACAUAAGUAUUAGAUAGAUAAUUUGCAGCAAUAUUCAUAAACUACAUCUGUCAGAGAAGGCGAACAUUGCGUAAUGCAUUUGUCCUCAAACUUUAAUUAAGAUUGAUUACUUCUCUAAAAUUUAGAGAAAGAUAAUGAAAUGUACUAAAAAUUGAGAAUUCGAGUCCGUGCCAAGUUUUUCUGGUUUCACUGGAUGAUCAUGUAACUUACUAAUCGUUAAAAAAAAAAAUACCAAAGAAAAAGGGAAAAAAAAUGUUGUAUUCAACUAGAAAAUGAAAGAACCCUCAAUAACAGCCGUUCAUUACAUAAUGUGUCUAAGAAGAAGAAAAAUUGCAUUUUCACCUGAACAAUUAAACCUCUCAAGAGCUCUUUGUAUGCAUUUGAAUCAUCGGCAAUACGUAAGAGCUUAUCACUACAAGCAGUUCUCAUUGAGUUCACCAGAUCAUGCUGCACCUGUAGAACUUUAACGCGCGAAGCAUUUACCUGCCUAGAGUACUCACUGGAAAGAUAUUUCACGGUUAAGGAACAAAAUUUUUGCAACAACUUCGUCCGAAAAGUAGUACCAAAUCCGUAGAUUAAUAAGUUUGUGUGAUAGAUCGCAAAGAGUGAUGAACUCACAUUCGUCUGCGAACUUCCACCUGUUUAAACUUCCGAUCGUAUUCUCCUUUGAUCUUCCGUUUCUCCGAUUCAACAAGCUGCGAUUUUGUUAUAUCGAACUCCUGCAUACAAUAGAAAAGAUCGCCGCACAGUUAACUUUCCUGUAGAAAGUGUGCUGCAAAAUGUUUUGCAGUUCGAGUUAUUAGAAUUAGAAGUUUAAAUUUGAAAAACAAACGAUUGCGGCAAAAUUGUAGGCUCAUUUAACAAUUUUCUCUCAGUGUGUUUAGGAGGAAAUUAAAGAUAGUGGGGGGGACCUCUUCGGCGGAGAUCAUGAUGUCGUUCGCCUUCUCCUCGGCCUCCCGGAGGAUGAACCGCACCAACUUCUCUAUCUGCUUCGCCACCGCCGCGUCGUCCAUCGCUCUCUAGAUCUCUCUAGAACCCUCUAGAACCCUCUCUAAUUUUGGGGUUUGUUAGGGGGAUCUGAGAGAGAGAGAGAGAGAGAGAGAGAGAGGGGGUGGAAUAGGGGAUUAGCAGUUGCAAUGGCGUGUGGAGAGAGGAAACGGGAGGGAGCUUGGCUUCGGUUUCGCGCGCUCCAGAAGAGGCGCGAAGGGCUUAGGAGGCGUGCUAUUUGUUUACACCCCUAGAACGCGUCCACCACGUCAUCCGUGGGCCGAUUUGUUCUUACUCAUUCGAAUCGAAGCGAUGAAAUAGAGAUCAAAUAUAAUGAACGGCAAAAUAAUUAUAUUUUUUAUUUAGCAAACCCCGCAAUUCCAAACAAACUCUUAUUUAAAUCAACAUGUAAGAUCAUUUACAUAGCGCUGACCGACAGAGGUACGAGGGAUGUACGGAUAAGUAAAAUCUAGAGGCUUCGUAUACCCUUGAAAGUAAAGGUCUUUUGCUCGCUCGCUUUCAAAAAGAGGUUUCAAAUAGUAGAUAGCUUAUUAAAGAGAGGGUGGACCGAUAGCACAGUCUGUAUACUUUGCGGGGUUGAAGAGGAAUCAGUAGACUAUUUACCUAAACAAUGCGUCUUUACUAGAUUUUUAAUGGUGAUGGCUUUAGAGAGUGUACAGCCUGUGGACUUUGGAAACGACGUGAUUAUGGUCUGGAAUAGAUACAAGCUUUGUAAUGGACCAUAGUCUUAUUGCAAUAGAUUGACUUGAUUAAUAGUUUGUUGGUGCGCCACCUGGGAGGUCAGAAAGGGUGUGAUCUUUAGGAAGAUUCAACUGAACCCCCUACUAGCGGUCUUCAAGAUUAAGCAGUUAAAUAAUCUGUGGGGACAAAUUCUCUCAGUAAAACAACACUAACAUUUUAAAGAUUUUUUUUUUCUUUUUUCAUUCUCGUUGCUUGAGGCAGUUCGCUACCUCAUCCAUGUAGCCUAAUUUAUUUAUUUUAUGAAUGAAGCGGGUUGCAUGUUAUCUCUUUCUUACAGAGAUGAAGAGAGAGGGAGAGAGAGAGUUGGGCUUUUCCCUCUCUCUCUCUCUGUCGAAAAAAAAAAAAAAAAAAACGAAAAAAAGAAGGUAAGAUCAUAGCAUAUCUCCGCAUAUAGUAUAGAAUAUGCUAGCGCUCCCUAAAUAGGGGCAUAUGCAAGUGAGUUCAGAAGCAUCUUUCAUUCAUCUGACUCAGAAAUUUUGCAAGGUAAAAAUUAUGGGCAGUUCAUUCAUAGGAUAAAAAAUAACGCUGUUCGAAUUUGAAAUGGACUCGAGUUUUGGAAUCUCGCAUAUUCCCGAGGGAUCUACAUGACAAAUCCGAUCGUAGCCGUCCACGUGGUAUAUGUCGGCACUCCACCGGAGUGGACGGCUAUGAUUUUCUAGAUCGGACGCUCCGGUUCUAUACAGGUGUGGAGCCAUUUCGUCUCGACGUGCCCCGCGCAAAAUUACGAAACUGCCCUCGAUUCGCUUUACUUAUAACUCCCGAGUCCCGGCCUUUAUUUCCUCUGCUGUAGUCCCUGUCCCUCCAUUUCCCGCGUGAGCUCCGUCCAAAACCCUAGCUGCAAAUGGGAGGAGAAGGAUAGAGAGAGAUCAAUCGAUCUCAAAUUCCUCGAGCCUCCAUGGAGUAGGGUUAGCUCCUCUUCCCCUCUCUCUCUCCCCCCGAUGGAUCCCGAUUAGUCUCUAUCUUCGAUGGAAACCCUAGCAAAUCCGGUCCGUGCGAUGGCCGCGGCGGUGGGUUCGGCGGCGCCGAGGGCCCCGCCGUGCGGCGCCAAAACCGCGCGGAGGCCGAGGAUCGUCCGGAUCGUCCUCGCCGACGCCGACGCCACCGACUCCUCGUCGUCCUCCUCGGGCGACGAGGAUGAAGCGGGGAGGAGGCGGCGUCGGGGGGUGAAGCGGAGCGUGCUCGAGGUCACCGCCGGGGCGUCGGAGGCGGUGAGGUUCCGCGGCGUGCGGCGGCGGCCGUGGGGCCGGUGGGCGGCGGAGAUCCGCGACCCGGCGCGGCGGCGGAGGGUGUGGCUGGGGACGUUCGACACGGCGGAGGAGGCCGCCGCCGCCUACGACAGCGCCGCCGUGCGGAUGCGGGGCCCGAGGGCGGUGACCAACUUCCCGGCGACGAUCCCGGCCCCGGAGCUCCCCGCGCCGCCGGAGAAGGGCGGCGGCGCCACCACCUCCUCCGCCACGAUCGGAGAUUCCCAUCCCUAUCCCUCGCCUUUGUCGGUGCUCUGCGACUCGCUGUUUGUAUGUAAGUAAUCGAACGCCUUCUAAUUUAGUUUUUUUCUUUUUUCAAAAAAAAAAAGGGGAUUUUUAGGGGUUUGUGUUGAUCUUCAGUAUUAGAAUUAUGGGAAAAUUUUGGUGAAAAUAUAUGUGUGUUGUGAUUGUAUGAAGAGUGCUUGUGAUUAUGAUUGUGAGAAUGUGGGCUCUGCUCACUGUAGGGUUGUUUUGAUGUUGUAUACUCGUAUUAGUGUUUGUAAUUAGUUACUUAAUGAGGUAGGCUUCGUGUUUUUUUUUUUAAAUUACUUUUGGAAUUUAACAAAGUAGAUUUGCAUGUUAAAAUAUCUUUUGGGAUAAAAUGCAUAAAACACUAUCUAAAAUAUUAGUGCAUUUUAAAAUAAAUAUUUUUAAGUAGCAGAAUAUUUUGUUAAGUUGGUGUAAUCCGGAGUAAUAAGUCGAGAAUGUUAUAAACACUGAAAUAAAAAAAGAAAAAAUUUUAAAUACUAUUCAUGUGGUUUUGUACUUUCUCGCUUUAGUAUAAUGUGGUUUAAAGUUUAUUGCUUUCGUACUCUAUAAUUUUUUUUUUUUGUCUCCUUCAUCAAUUUUUUUCGUUAACUUAGUGAUAAAGUUAAAAUUAAAGAGUACUAAAGUGAAUAUUCGAUAAACUAUAGGGGGAUAUUUGAAGUUUUUUUUGUAUAUGAUUUAACGAAAAAUUAACGAAAAGGCCGACGAAAAGAGAAAAAUGAAACCAUAUGGUACUAAAUUGAUACACUUUAAAUUAUAGAGUACUAAAGUGAAAAAAUAUAAAAUUAUAGAAGUGUUAUUUGAAGUUUAUUCAAUAUAUAUAUAUAUAUAUAUAUAUAAAGGCUCAUCUGGUAUUGGUGUUUUCUUUUUCUUUUUUUUAAUUUUCUCUGGGUGGAUGCAGUUUUCUAUUUUUAUCAUUAUUGAUUAAAUUGUGAUUAUUCUGUUGCAUUAUGUUGCUUUUUUGGAUUUUAAAAGGACAAAAAAGUUACUCAUAUGUUAUUUAAUACAUAAUGAAUUUCAUAAAUGUAUAUAUUACUUGCAAUCUAUCAUAUACAUCACCGUCCACCAAUACAUUGUGAAGAACAAAAAAUAACAAUGGUAUGUCUAUUAAGGAGUUAUAAUUUUGUUUGUUUGUUUUUUUUUUUUUCAAAAUCAGUGGGCUGCGAAAGUUUAAAUCUUCAUAUACCCAUUUUAUAAUGAGAAAUGCUACUUAUACAAUGUAGAAGUUGCGCACAAAUCCGCACCCCCAGCUUAUUGAAAAAUUUAGAUAAUUACUUUGAACUUCUAGCAUUAGAAAAAUAAGGCAGUAAUAAAAUUACUUUUGUUGUUAUUUUUCUUUUCUUUUUUUUCUUUCUUUGAGCUAUAUUUUUUUUUCUCAAGGUCAUGUUGUCUCACUGUUUGUAGCCAAGUUUAUUUUCGAAAUAAAUGAAACGGAUAACGUACUACCUUUUUUCUCCAAAAAAAAAAAAAAAAUUAACAUGAAAAAAUAAGUUUUUGGAUAGGAAGUGCGUAAGAUUUACCCUCACUACUUUUUGAGGGUUUUUGAGGGUACAGAUAGUAUUGUUCUUGCUCUUUUAUGAUAAGCAGUAGUUGAGUAAAAAGGAGUUAAUAUGUGGCACGAUUCAGAUUAUAUGAUUUGGUCACUUUCAUUUGAUUUGAAGGGGCCUUAUUAGGUCUAGUGGCUCAUUGCUAGACUUUUUAAGGUUCUUUCCUUUUUGGGUAAGUAGCACUAUUCUUGUAGAGCAUUUACCCGAAAUUUUCACUCGGGCUCCUUUCCUUAUAUUAGCUCUAGGGUCCAUAAUGUUUAAUGGUUUAUAAUGUUUUCAAGGUUUUUCAUCAAAAAGAAUGUCUACUGGGAUGGAAUUUGGAUUUGGCAACCAGAAAUGCUACACUACAUUUUCUCCAUAUAGAUUUAAUACAGGUUAUGACGAUCUAUGGUUUUAAAAUUUAAAAUUUUAUUACGUAGACAUAAAAAUCAACUAAUUCUAUUUGCAUAGACAUAAAAAUCAACUAAGCGGACACCAUAAUUUUUUUUAAAAAAAUAUUUAAUGGCAAGAAUAGAUAUAAAAAUCAACUAAGUGGACACCAUAAUUUUUUUUAAAAAAAUAUUUAAUGGCGAGAAUAGACAUAAAAAUCAACUAAGUGGACACCACAAUUUUUUUAGAAAAAACAUUUAAUAGCAAGAAAAGUAUUUUUAAAAAAGGAUUUAUUGGCCCAUGCAGGUCUCGAACCUGCGACCUUCGCGUUAUUAGCACGACGCUCUAACCAACUGAGCUAAUAGGCCACUGAUCUUUUAAGAAAAAUUCUUCAUUCAUAAGGCCUAAAACGAUAUGAGACCUAGCCCCAUUUAGAGUUCAAACAGUUUUCUUUUGAUGAAUCUACUUUUGGAUCGUCUCGUUUUUAACUUCAAGAAAUAGAAAUUUUUCAGUUUCACGGAUGGCAAUCCAGUCCAGCUGUUCAUUAUGAAAUGGUCCCCCCGCAAGUAGAAUUGUAGAUCACAAAACAGUCAAUGGCUAUAUUUUACCCUUUUAUGAUUUGUAAGAUAUAGAACGAUAUUAUCCCAUUAGAUAGUAGUCUCUUAAAAAGAAUAGUCUCUUAAAAAGAAUAGCAAGUAGUAAAAUACAACAUUUUAAACCAAACGCAGCGUAUCACAGAGUUCUUAACCACCGUUUGAUUCGGAAUUAAGUAAAAACUUGUUAUUCUGGAUAGAGUUAAGUUUAGGAUUAAGGUAGGGUUAGAAUAAUUUUGUGUUUGGUUGAGAAUUAGAUUUAGUUCAGUUAUAAAUACAAUAGUGUUUGGUUGGAGUAGAUGAGAUAAGAAGGAUAGUGGAUAAAAUAGUAUUUUGUUUGGUUGAAGUAGUGGGGUGGGGUGGGAGAACCCUACCCCCUAAUUGGGUGUUUGGAAAUAAUUUCGGAGUUAAAGGAUUAUUCCACCCCUUAAUUUCGAACCAAACGGGUGCUAAGAGUUCGGUUGGAUGAUAAAAGAUACAAAUAAGAAGAUGACGAAGAACAAUUGAAUGAAAAAUGAAAAAAAGACACGAAAGGAUAAAACUAUGCAUUCAACCAAGUAGUAGGUAUUCAAAAUUUCUGGGGGCAGGCCUAAAUAUUAUGAAGUUCUCUCAGUUAAAUGUUCUGCAUUCAAAUUGUCAUGCCGCAGGGAAACGAAUUGACCAGCAAAGAAUAAGCAAGGAUUGGGAGCAAGAAUUGCCUCGAUGGAAAUGUAUCUUUGGUCACCUUUGAACACCAACAUGAUCCUCAUCAAAAUUUCUUGCGACUUGUUACACCUCCUCAACCUGCAAAUAUUGAAGAAUUCAGUAUGACCAGUAAUUUUUUUACCCUUAAAAAAACUAAAAAGAAAUGUUAGCCGACAUUGUAACCAUUAUAGAAUAUUACGUCAACAAGAAGAUCUUGAAAUAUGUAAUGUACAAACAGUUUUAUCGAACACAGAAAUAUAAGAAAGAAGAAACUGCAUCCGGCCAGACUUCAAACAAGCGUCGGGUUAAAGUUGAGGCUAUUUACAUAUUUUUGGAGACGUAAGUUUACUUUAAAUUGGUUUUGCUCGAACUACAACAAACUACUUAUCGUCGUAGAACCUGUGGAAGGCUCAUUAACUCCAGAACGGCCUUUUUGGGGGUUAACUCAUUGUCGAUGAUGCGUGCAACUGCCGUCAAAACCGGCAUCUUGACAUGGUACCUCUGUGCCAAUGCAAUAACUGCCCCAGCUGUUGACACACCUUCAGCUAUCUAAAGAGGCAUGGGGGAUUAAAACCAUUUUAGUACUAUGUAGAAGCUUUUACAUAUAUAUUGUUGCAAAAUCAUCUAGUCGCAUAUUUGCACCUGUAAAUAGAUAAUUUUGCAGGGGUAUGUACGUGAAGGUGACUAACAAAUAUGGGCAUACAGAAGGAAUAUUAGAAACCUGAUUCAUUGAGCUUAAUAUGUCGUCAAGCUUCUCUCCCGAACCAAGGCGCAACCCAACAGUUCUAUUUCGUGAAAGGUUCACAAAACAUGUGAGCAUAAUAUCACCGGAUCCUGACAAGCCAGUAAGUGUUGUUGGCUUCGCUCCCAUCUUAAUAGAAAAAUGAAAAUCCACAAAAUAAAAAAAAAAAAAAAGAGAGGAAAAGUUAGGUAAUUAUUAGGCAUCCGUUUAGCCAUAGAAUUACAAACUGACCUUUGUUGCCAACCAUCGUAUCUCGGAACAGCCUUGUGCGACAAGGGCAGCCAUGCAGUUAUUUCCAAGGUGCAUGCCUUCUACAAUACCUGCUGCUAUUGCAAGUACAUUCUUAAGCGCACCCGCUAUUUCUACUCCUGUAACAUCACUGAUUUAUCGAAGGUCACAAACCAAACGAUUUCAUACAGGAAAGUGUAGAUACCAAGCAACUAAAACAAUAUGCCAUCGAUGUAGGUACAGAAAGAACAAACUUACAUACUAGAAAUCAGAUAAUCGGCACUACAUACAUAAUAGUACUUUGGUGAUUAGAGAAUUAUUCAAUAAUUGUCGCCUUUGUGCAUUAAAUGCACUAAUUGUUUGACAAUUGAACUUGUUUGAUAGUAAAGAAAAGUUAGACCUACUUGGACAUGAGUUUGUUAAUGCACUUCUUUUCAUGUUUACAUCUCAAAAGAGUGGUGUAUUAAGCUAUAAAAGUAGAAAGUGAAAAAGGAAACACAGUGCAUAAUCUAGUAGUCUUUCUUGCUUUUAACAAAAUCAGUUGAAAAAAAAGGAACUAAUGUUUGGACAUUACAUUCAAUGUUCAACAAUUAUAAUUAGGAAUGAAAGAAAACUUAAAUUGGGUAACGAAAUCGAUGCAUGUGUGUUCUACCAUGACUCAAAGAGAUAAACACAGCAUGAAGAACAAGUAAUUAGACAUAAUUCCCAGGCCAAUUAUACGGACGAAAAUCAAAUCGAUGAAAAAUUGUCACAAGGAAAAAAAAGCAUUUUCAUGUCAUUACAAGCAUAAAGAAAGAAAACAAGAAAGCAUAUCUACCCGGAUGUGUUGAUUCUCAGAUGUGGAGAGGCUAACAAUUGCUGAACAGCACUUGCCAACUUUUUGUCUUUCGAUGCCACCACCAUUGCUGUAAGUUUACAUAUCAUGUAACAGAAGAGUCUCUCAGCUUCUAAAAGAAAUAAACAGCUUCCAUUUGAUAAGUGUAACUUACAACUGGGAGCUCAGGUCACGACUGUGCCCGGGAGGCUUGGGUUUGGAGCAUUUCCCAAAUGCAGAAACUUCCAAAAACUAGGCAUUUGGCUAACAAAAACAAAGGGUAAGAAGCCAUUGCUCCAGCAGGCAGCUGAAACUUUUGAGCCGAAAGUAGAAGCUUCAAUUUGAAGCCUCUGCUUUUACGCGGUGAGAAUCUAUUGAGGGAUUUAAUGGCAAAACUGGUAACGCUUCUUUGGACAGCUGUAGUCAAACAAUACUGCUGCAGAAGGUCCAACUGAGCCAGACUGCCUACCAUAUGACAAAGAAUACAUUAAAUUUCUGAAGUAAUACCUGUUGGUAAUUUAUUCACCAACUCAACUGCAAAAGAGGGUCCUGACAACACACUAAUAGGUUGGCGAGGGUUUCCCAAUGCGUGCGGUAUGAUUUGAGACAUCAUCCUUAAAGUGUUAAGCUCCAAUCCUUUGCUAAGAGAUAUGAAUGGCAACUUUGGGUCAACAUGUUGUGAAAUGCCUUCAAGAAAGGGUGAACUGAACUGCCAUUAAAUCAAUGAGGUUGGUAGACUUAUUCAAGUUCACAAAAUGCCUGAAUUUCACUAGAAUUUGUAUAAUUCAGUAGUGGCUAGUUAGCAAUGGGGCAUUUAUAAUCGCUUAUUAUGUGAGUGAGAACUAAGAUUACCUGCACCGGAACAGCAUGUAAGCAAAAAUCAGCUCCUGCUAAAGCAUCCUUUGCAUUAGUUGUUGCAACAAUAUUCUCCGGCAGCUUGUGUUGUGGAAAGUACUUGCUGUAGUAGAAUGUAUUAAUGGAAAAAUUUAAAGUUCCUUAGAGUCAUCUAAAAAACAGAACAAAUUUCUCAAGAAUUUUCUACAUACUAUUUAUUGAGUCUUUGUAGAGGUCCAACAUAUCUUCUUCUUCAACUAUGUAUUGAGUUCACAAAAUGCAAUUGAACAAAAUAGAAGAAAGAUCUUCAUUUGUCGUUUAAUUAAAUCCUAUUAUGUAGGUGACCGCCUAGUUGCCUAAACUUGCAUCUAAUCUAUAGAAAGAGUAAUAGGUUAGGAUUGCCUACGCUACAUAAUUCUUAUGAUUCUAGUCAUCCCAAGCAAUUUAAGCAAACUACAAAGUUAGCGGGUUAUAAUGUCAAAAUACAGCUAGUAUCUACACAUUCAAAUAUGAACAAGAACACAUUAGUAUGCAUACACAUAUUGAUAAUUUUUGUCACCAGAUGUUUAAAACCUCUCACCAGUUGAAGUGAUUUUCGUUGAUGGCUCGGCAAAUGUGAGCAUCCCUAACAAGCAUGGAGACUUCCAUUUCUGCUUUCUUGCUUGCGACAUGUGCUGCCAUUGCCGUCCCGAAAGAUCCGCCACCAAGAACCACAACCUAAUUCGACCACAAUCAGCGUUAUCAUCGCAAAAUUACAAAUAAAAUGAAAUCAAAUCAAAUCAAAUCAAAGGGGUCAAUUGCAUUUCAGUCCUCGACCACUUUGCACGGCUUCAGCUUAGUUCUCAACCUAAAUUUCUUACAAUUAGUCAUUCAGUUGAGUUCCACCGUUAAAUUGCUGCAAUGUUAAUGAUAUAAUAUCGCCCAUUUCAAUAGAAAAAUCAAAGCGGGAUUAAAAAUUAGAGAUCAAAAUGUAAAAUUCUAGAUGAUGUCGUUCUCGAACAAAAAUUGCACUGAACAAAAAUGAGGAUUAAAAAAAAGAAAAAGAAAAAAGAGGGGCAAAUGAGGGGUGACAUCAAUGGAAAGAGAGCGAGCACCUUCCUGGUCCUCUCGAGGACAUCGCUGUUGUUCUUGGAGCGCCACGACCGAGACCAGCGCACGAGCUUCUCCCACGCGAUCCGCACCGCCCUACGCCGGUCCCAUCCGCCGCCCUCCUUGGCCCCCGCCGCCGCACCGGAACUCGCGCUAGGGUUAGGGUUCUCCUCCGACGCGGGAUCGGCGUCGAGGGUUCCGGCGGAGCAGGGGCAACGGGGCGGGCUUGUGGGGGAGGCGACGGAGAAGGGAGAGAAGGGUUUAGGGCGAAGCCUUAUCCGUAGGGUUCGGGUGUCGGGAGAGGAGAGGAGGGGGAGGUGGCGGCGGCGAGGGUUUGGAGAAGGGGAGAGUGGGGAGAUGAGCGAAGAGGAGGACGGAGAAGGAGAAGGGUCGGCGAGAAGAGUCGCCAUUGUUGUGAGAGCGGAACCUUCUAUCGAGGUCGAGGAGAGAACGAGGGUGUGUGUAUGUGUGCGCGCGCGCGUGCGUGUGUUGGGGGCGAGUUUUAUCCGUUUCGUGCGCGCGCGCGCGCUCUCCCUCUCCUCAGCGGGUCGGAUUGGGGAGUGAGGGACGGGUUAGUGAGUGGAUCCGAGAGCAUACAAACCCGACCCGACCCGAUCCUUCUCCCGUUUCACCCCUCGCCACAAAUUCGCAAACUGAAUCCGCUUCUGGGGGGCUCUCUUCGUUUUUGGCUUGGGCUCCUCGUUUCCAAGGUAACGUGGAAGCUUCAAAUUUUCCCCUCUUCAUGCUAUUCGCAUUUCUUUCCCAUUCAGAGAAUUUGAUCUAGGGUUCCUAAUUUUGCUCUCACCUUUGCUACCUAUACUUACAUUUUCAGUGCUAAAUUUUGCUCGGCAAUACGAUUUGAAACAUCUGUUACGUCAGGAUUGUGGCGAUUAAGCCCCUAAUUUUUCCAAUUUCUCUUUUUACUUGGUUGCGGUUCAAAAGGAAUUAAAGGAUUUUGAUCCCCAGUUGAGAAAUUUGGUUUCUUUUGCCAAUUUUUGUACCCCAAAAGUAGAUGUUUUCGGGGCUUCACAUCAAAAACGAAACUUGCUUUUGAUAUGAUUAAGAAUUUUGAGCUUUAAUAUGAAUGUAGUUCCUCUUUGCCUUUUGUUGUAUUAUAUUACUUGUAUUAAUUUAUAUUGCCAAUUUAUCUGAGCUUAAAUCCAGAAAAGAAGCUUCCUUUGAUCUGAGUAAUAAUCUUGACCUCCAAUUUUGAACUUCUGUUAUCUAUUUUUCUUUCUUUUUUUUUUGUACUGAAAAGAAAAACUCUUUUUUCCUCUUUUUGUUCUUUUCUCUUUUGGCCCUACAAAUAGAUAGAUCAUUUUCAAUUUUUCUUUUAAAAUUUUUCAUGCUUCAUUGUCUGAAUCUAAUAUGUUAAUCUCCUUUCAGCAACAUGGGCCACCACCACCACCACUACGGCCACCAUCACGGCCACCACCACUGCCAUGAGAGUGAUAGCCCGUUCGACGACCCCCUUCUUGGCCUGCUGCUGCUGCCCCUGCGUUCUGGUAACUUCCAUUUUUAAGGGUAUCGAACGAUGUGUCUUUGCCACUUGCUACCCUUUUCUCCGAUGCUUUGGCUGGGACGAACAUAGUCAUCACCACCACCACCACCAUAACUACCAUAGCCAUUUCGCUUAAAUAAGUUCUCAGUUUAUUUUACAUCGCCAUUUAUAUUAGCGACGAAUGAUAUUUACUACUUGGCUUGUGAGACAUUUUGUCGGUAACAACCGUUUAUAAUGGGAAUCCGAUGAGCUACUCAAAGUUUGAAGGCUCCAUGUAUAUGUUAGUAAUUGGUAUUAAGUGCCGUGUAGUUCUUUUGGGUUCAAAUGAUAAUUGAAUACGGCAUUACUAGUGCCAUGAAAAUCAGUUUAGUGAUUUUGCUACAAUUGCUUCGUUUUGCAAUUUACUUUAGGAUUGCUCUCUGUUAUGUCGCUUGCAGUGUUCUUCUCGAAUAUUGAGUAUGUCUGUAAAGAUGGACAGUUCGAUUAGCUAAUGUGUUAUCAGUCAUCGAUAAGAAGAAGCGAUUUGUGGUAUAUAAUUUUUAGGAAUGCUGUUGGAAUUUAACAAGUUACAUGAUGUGCGAUAUAAAUUAUGCUGUUGUGUGUUAUUUACGUCUUCCGGUUUCUUGGUAUGAUGAUAAAAGUGGUGCGUAGUUAGAAUUCCAUGCCAUGAAUUGCUAGAACUCUCUGAACAAAACACUUCGAUUUCCCAAUUGAUAUUCUUAGAAACCUCUUAUCGAUGCUUUUUAAUUAAUGUUACUGUAAACAUCUUACCCAUACAGUAACUUCUCGAAAUAGAACGUGUUUAGAGACCUCUUAGCCAUGACUAGAUACCUUUGGAGUUCGCUUCUUAUAUUCUUAUUUUUCACUUGAUAGCCGAACGAAGUUAGAGAGAAACCAGCAACUUUGAUAUAGAAUUUAUAUGAUCUUCUUGAUUCUCCUUUCCAAUAACUAAAUAACUAAUGUUUCUAUAUAAAUAGGAGGAUAUCUUUGAUAAUUAUGACCAUGCAUCCAAAAACUCAUAUCUCAAUUAUAAAGAUAAGAGUCCAAAAGAAAGAAGGAAAAAAGAUAAAGGAAAAACACCACAAAAACACAGAGGAGAGCUCAAUCAUUUAUGGAAACAGGUAACUCAUAUUCAUAUAAUAGUGUAACACUACUACAAAACCCAAAUAUCAUCAAAGACAUUAUGGGAUACAUCACAACAGUAUCAGAGGACAGAUACACUAACUACACAUAUAUGGGUGUAAGAGAGAGAGCCCGUCCUCACACCCACAUAUGUGAACUCAAUGGUGUUCAGCAGAAGCUCCCACCUUUAUUCUUCACUUCACUUUAUUAUUAUAUACCUCCCUACUCUCACACGCACUCCCGGGAGGUCGAAGCGAGUCAUUUUAGUGAACCCUGCACAUAAAAGAAUCAAAAAAGGAGAAAAGGAAUAUUAUUGUCAAUCAAAUUUAAGUAGUUAAUUUAGAGGUGGCAGUACAGCUUCAUUUUCGAGUUUCUGCUUGUGAGGUCUAAAAGCUCAUUUCAUCGUCCUCCUCAAAUCAAGCCACAGGUCUACUUCUUGCGUAAAAGAGCUCUUCACAAAGCUAGUCUGAGUAGUCAUUAAGCACUCGUUUGACUCUAUGGAGGCUUUCAUUCAAGUACUGUUUAAGAAGAGCUUCCUAAAGUAUUAAUAGCUUUCUCCUUAAAAUCUUCUUCCGAGUUUUUUAUCUUUUCCACUCAGAAGCUUAUUUUAACUUUCUACUGUAGAAAAAGCUUAUUUUAAUUUUCUGUCGUAGAAAGAACUUUCGACGUAUUCCUUGAAAUCUCCUAUGGAGGUUGUUUUUUUUUGUACGAAAUUGCAUUAUUGAUGCAAUUUUAUGUCGUUUUCAAAGAUCUGAUGGUGAUCUCAAAUUGCGCUGAAGUUAAGUAUAUAUGUAGAACUUCUCUUUCGCUUGUUAUGCGGCUUACUUGCUGCAGUCGGUGGAGGUGCUGAUGGUGUAUGGGACGCUGACGCCGCACGCGCUGGGGAUGGAAGAGAUAGCACCAGGCUUGAGGCCGCUGACGCUCGCAGCCUCCUGCUUCAGGCAGUUGCACGCCGCCUGUCGGUCCGCCGUGCUCUGCGCGGCAGCAUUCAGGCUGCGCACGCCGCUGCAGCAACCUGCUGGCGGCGUCCCCGUCCCCGAGCGUGCGUACGCAAUGCACUGGGAAAGGAGCGACGACACCUGGCCGCAGGUGAUCGCCGCCUCUGUGCCGGAAAUGACGACGGUGGAGGCCACGAGGGCCAGGAGGAGGGUAGCUGCGACGCGGGCCAUUUGAUUUGCAGGUUAGCGGGUGUAUGUGGAAUUUAGCUCAGUUGGAAUGAGAGUAGGAAGUGGUAGGAAGUGAUGCUGGGAAUGGUUAUGUGUAGGGAGUAUUUAUAGAACUUCUAAGGGUGCUUUGCUUUGCUUUUGUGUGUGUGUGUGUGUGUGUGUGUGUGUGUGUGUGUGUGAGAGAGAGAGAGAGAGAGAGAGAGAGAGAGAGAGUUAGUUGGGGGUUGGGACCAGGAGAAGGGGGGAAUGAGAUCUUAGGAAGGAGCAUUUAUUUGGGUGGUUGCAUUUGCUUGAUUGGGUGGGGGUCAUUUAGUAGUACGGAAAAUAGUGCUUCGUAGAGGAUACAAGAGAGGACAAACUACACAUGAUGGAUACAUGCAUCGAUUUGGUUAGUAAAGUGAGCAAAUAAGAAGAUAAAAUGGAAGUUACCAGCGUUGAAAAAGAGUGUUGAGUAUUACAAAGGUUCUUGGUUAUCUUGCUACUUGUGGUUAAAUCUCUCUUUCCUAUUAUUUUGAAUGUAGAGUCGAGAACGAAAGAUCAAAGAGGAGUGAAGAUCUACAUUACAACGUUAUGAACUCGAAUUUGAGACUGUUUGAUAGUAGCAUCCGCUUUAAUCUGCCACGUCCCGAAAUUUCUGUUUAAGUUUAAAACCGAUGCGGAAGUGUCCAAAAAUUUAUUUAUUUAUUUUUUUUGAAAGUCUUGACCGCAGAGGACGUCAAAUUCGUCACAAAUACAGUGAAUCUACUGUUUACACGGACAGAAUCUUUUCUGUAUUUGCACGACGUUGUACAAGUACAAGAUACAACCACACAGUAUAAUAACCCACAUACAAUCACCACAUCAUAUAUACCAUUCACAUUUAUUCCAUCAUCAGUUUAUCAUAAAUUCACAUUUAUUAGUUUAAAACGUUUUCAAUUCGGAAACAUAUAUUGAAAUACUAAAAAUUAUGAAAACGAUUUUCUACCUUUCGUGGUAACGUAUUUUUUUUUAAAAAAAAUUUCUUGUGGAAAACGGUCUUCGUACAAAAAUUCGCGUACAUACUGAGAGUAAAGAGUGCAGAAGAACUGUUCAACAAUAAUAAAUGGUGUAGUUAAUGGCGAGAAGAAAUGACAUGUACAGGAAACAGAACGGGGAAUGGGAAUUUCAUGCUUUAAUUUGCUCCGGUUAUAAAUCAUCUAGUCAUGUGGUAUUUAAUUUGUAAAGUAAAAUGCAGCAGGGUAUCUUGUUCUGGUACUUAGGGAGUAACUAUUUUAAUGUACCGCUUCUGAAAAUUCUAAUCUUUAUGCGUAUUAGCCAAAUCACAAAUGUGCAGGGAAAAUUAGGUGGGUGUCGGACAUUAUUGUGAUUGUAGAACCAUACCAGAUCAAAGUGUUCCUGAAUCAAAGGGAUAGAGAAAGUUGUGUGAUUUGGAAGAGGUUAAUUGGUUUGUCAAUUAAGCAAGUACUUGCAAAUAGAUCUUAUUCAGAGAAAUAUUAAUUUUUGUAGAAACUCUGACGAGCUAAACAAGAGUUUAGUUCAUCCAAACUAACACUAUUCACCCAUUCAAAACUUGCUAGUCACUUAUUAGGGAGGAAUAAGUUUAGACUCUAGCUCAGAUGAAGAGCUAGCGCACUAAUCUAUACCUGUACAUUACUCCCCAUGACUAAAUCCUACAUGUAUCCACCCCCUUAAUUUGAGGAGAAGUGGGGCCUAGCUGUUUUUUUUUUUUUUUUUUUUUUUUUUUUUUUUUUUUUCUUUAGAUUUAUUAAGGCCUAAAAAGUUUUUUUUUUUAUUCUUUUUCUUCACCUUUUGACCUUCCACCAUCUUUCUUAAAUUUGCAAAUUCGAACCUUUGUUGUGUUUCGUAUUAUUGUGAGCCUUUCUUUAGUCAUAUCCUUAUCUUUACCUUCUGAUCUUCCACCCUCUUUCUUAAAUUUGCAAAUUCGAAUCUUUAUUGUGUUUCGUAUUAUUGUGAUGAGCCUUUCUUUAGUCGUAUUAACUACAAUAUGAUAGUUUUUUUAUUAUUGUGUUAUAAAAAUAAUUUUAAUCAUCCAUUUGCAUGAUAUGCGACAUCUUUUGAACAAAAUUGAAUAAUUUUGUUGGAACGAUUGAUUCUUUUUCAUUAUAGUUUUUUGUUAAAAAAAGUAUUUGUCUAUAAUAUGGACUAUAUUUAUUAAUUUUUAUACUAAACUGAUAUUUUAUUUUUUAUAAAUUUUCACUUUAACAGUAUCUACCCGCCGCCGUAACACGCGGGUCACUACACUAGUAAAAUUAAUAUAUUUAUCGCUAAUUUCAUUUACAUUGUGAUUUAGGAACAAUUUAGCUCUUCAAGACACUACUUACUCCCUAGUCCUAUGUAAGUAGUAUUGAGGCGCUACUACUUCAAUCAUGGUUUGACCAUUGUAAUGUGAACGUUAUUAAGAUGGAGAGUUUCACGGGUCUUAAAAGUUUGAUGGUCCACUAUAUAUACUAUUAGGCUCUGAAAAAGUCUAAAAAAUAGGAGUUGUAAAUUGAUCAUGUUGUUCUAUAUAUUCCCAUCUCCAUUACUUCCAUCAACUCUUUUUCUCCCAUCCACCUUGAUUACAAGUGAGCUUAAAUGCAUUGAGGGAGGACGUAAUCCUCCCCCUCCCAACUGCAUCACAUUAAUAAGCCGGGCCUCUCUCCCUUUGCUUUUGUGGUCGUUGUCUCAAAUUUAAUGCUUGAUGUUCCUCUCUAAUUUUGAUUGCCCAACCUCUAGGAUAAUUUUAAAGAGCGAGGCUACUAUGCUAUCAGAAGCACGGAGCCUUCCGUGCUUCCAGCUCGUUUUCGAUGUUGCGACUUUCGAAUCGUCGAUCGGCUCCGUUAAACUUGAUCUAGAGUAUUUGGAGUACCUAGAAAAUAAAUUUUAUUAUUUUUCGAUAUCAUUUGCCUAGUGAUCGAAUGAGCUCAAAAUCAACAAAUUUCAAUGGCCGUAGUGAGCCGUUUGCAAGUUUAACGAUGUAGAAAUAUCCAAAUCACGUGAAAUUUUAAUAGAAAAUUCUUUAUACUAUAUAAAACAAGAUCAAUAUCUUUGAUUUAAAAUUUUAAUGUCAUACUAUUACAUUUUGUAAGAUUUUUAUUUUCAGCCGUUGAUUUUGAGCCCCUUCGUUCACUAGGCAAAUGAUAUCGUAAAAUCAUAAAAUUUAUUUUCUAUAUACUUCAAAUACUCUAGAUCAAGUUUAACGGAGCCGAUCGACAAUUCGAAAGUCGCAACAUCGAAAACGAGCUGGAAGCACAGAAGGCUCCGUGCUUUCGAUAGCAUAGUAGCCUCACUCUAAUUUUAAAUGGCUCCUUCCUUACGUGUUAAGGAGUCUUAGGUCAUUGUAAUGCGAAAAUCGCGAUUCGUUGUGCCCCUUAAAUACGGGAUACUGUAUAGAUCAGUUCACUUUACUUCGGAAUCGAUGUAAUUAUCUAUGUAGUGUGGUUGGAGAUGUAUGCAGUUGUAAAUACAUGCAUCAUGUUUAGUUAGAUGUAGUAAAAAAUAUUGUAACUAUAAAUAAUUUGUUUAGUUGCAUGCAGUUGAGAAAUAAUUUUUAAAAUUUUAUCAUUUUAUAUAUAUGAUGAUAAAAUUACCUUUAAUAAAUAAAAAAAUAUUUUUUUUAUUUAAAAAAUAAUUAAAAAGGUAAGUAUAUCUUUUAUUUAAAGCUACUCCUCCAACUAUUAUUGCAGUUGAAACUGCGGUCAAUUUAGACGUAGUUCAAAUUACUGUAGCUGGGUCUCUUUCUGUAGUUUUUACUAUAAAAAUUAUAGUAAAAUACAUCAAAUCAAAUAUCGAAUUUAUAUUUACAUAUAAUUAUAACUAUAUACAAUCAAAUGAUCAUUUAUUGUAGACGCUCCAGAACCGAUAUUUUAUAUUAUUUUCGAGAAGAAUAUAAAAGAAAGUUAAAUUUUCAUUCGGAUGGCACCCACUGCUAUUUAAUUUGAAUAUAUGUUAUGAGCCGAACGAGUGUAUCCUCGUUGACUGCGACCAACACACGUGUACAGUACAUGAUUGCACGAAGAAAGGGAGGAGCCGUCCACGUGGAUGGUGUGCAAUCAAGUUAUGAUAAUUAGAAUGCAACGGAUAUACGGGCCGCGUGGCGUAACAAGUUAAUUAAAUAUUUUUUAAAAAAAUAUAUAUUUUAUUAUAAUAAUAAAAAAUUAUUUUUAUUGUACUUUUAUUUGAAAAGAAGAAAUAUGAUUGACCUGUUAUUGAUAAUGGGUGCAAAUGUGACAAUAUAGAAUUUUUAAAAAAGUGCACACUGUACUAUAGUAGCGAGGAUGCAGUGUUGCUUUAGGAUUCGUGCUGGGACCAUACCAUGCAAUAUCUACAUCAAUCACAUCGGGACCGUUGGCCGUCACUUUGACUACAAGGAUCGACGUCCGAGCAUGAUAAAUGCUCAGAUGCUGCAUCAUGUACCGCAGGUGUCUUUCCCAGCACAAAUUUUAGAAUGCGUAAGUUGUAUCGGUGAGGUUGCAUUCCCAACUAAUUAAAUAAAAUUUUUAAAAUUAAUUUAUUAUAUUAUAAUUAUUCAAAAUAUUUUUAUUAUAUUUUUUUUAAACAAAAAUAUGAUCAACUUUUUAUUAUUGGUGUGGUGUAAGUGUGACACAGUAAACAUUCUCUUUUCAAAAAACUUCUCAACCCUCACCCAAAAAAAAAAAAAAAAAAGUUUUCUAAUAAUCACGACUCUUUUUGUCUAUAUAUUUGGCUUAUGCUUUAAGUCAAAAACAGUUUUACUAAAAUGACGUUUCUCGAUUUUAAUAAUGUGACCAGCUUCACUAACUAUAUUGAAAAAAAAAAAAAAUUGGCAUGAUCUCUAAAAUCACCAAUUUGAAGCUUCUACGUACGUACCCACACUAACAGGGAAACUUAUUAUGAUGGAUUUUAAAUUAAACUAAAAUAAUGUGUUCUGAAAUGACACUACUGUUUUACAAAAACUUCAACCCCGAAACAUAUAGUUGUUUGGUGAAAUAAAAUGUUUAGAGCUUGCAUGAAAGGAUUAUGGGCUUCUUAUAUAUUAUUAGAGAAGCAAAAGCUCUAAAAGAGGAUUCUUCGACUACUAUGAAAGGUAUUAACUCUUCAAGAGAAACCUAAUACGAAUAUGAAGAGACUAAUAUAAGAUUGAUAUUUAUAUACCUGGGAUGUUUUUUUUUUCUAGAGAUAUAGGUAGUACGUUACCCGUUUCGUUUAUUUCAUUUAGAAAUAAACUUAGCUGGAAAUAUAAAUCAACCAGAAUUCGAACUUAGUACCUCGGAUAUCAACCAGUAAAUACUCUGCCAUUUACUCUAAGGACGAUCGGUAUAUACCUGGAAUGUUACUGCAUGCAAAAGGUUGGGAGUUUUAACUCUUGCAUGUAUGUUUCAAAAUUAAUGUGGGAGAUUUGAGUCCCGAUUUUCAGAGACCCACAUUCCAACUAUAAUAUAAUUUUGCAAUGUUUUUGAGAUAAAAUAUUCCUACAAUCAGAUAAACUUUAGUGCUUUUUUCGAUCAUUGCGCUUAAACAGAAAGUAACAAAAAAAAAAAAAAAAGAAAUUUGUGCAGGGCAAACAAUCACCUAGUUUUUUUGUCCAUAAUUAUCUAGAACGAUAAAGAAUAGAACACGUCCGUGUGUGUGUGUGUGUGUGUGUGUGUGCAUAGAAGGGACGGUUGAGUUGUCCCUCUCACGCAUUAUUGAGAGGAAAAGUAGACAAACUGAUCAGUUUUUGUCAACACCAGAGCAUGCAACAACGAGCUGCUUUAUUAUAUUAUGAUUAUUGUUUUUAUGCUCCCAUUGUGGUCCUUUUUAUUGUGUACUCUCUUUAGAAUUCAUCCCCCCUCUUUUUCUUUUUGGCUCUUAUUUUUCUAUGCUUUUUUUUUUUUCCUUUGUUUUCUUCAAAUGUAUAUCAGUAUAUGUCUCUCUAAAAAAAAAAAAAACACUUUAAUUGUAUGCCAAUGAUUUCCAUGUGAUUUCUCUUGUUAUCCCAAACACGGUUAAGAGAAAAAGAAAAAAAAAUGUCGCGUAACGAAUCUAAUGACAUGACCUACUAGAAAUAAUAACUCGUUGGGUCAAAAAUAUUUAAACUCAGUUAUUAUUAGUAGUGUAUUUGUUACUUAUAAAGUCAUCAUACUUUUUCACAUUAUCUAAUGUGAGAUUAUUAAAGUAUCAUAUAUUUUUCUUGUUUAGACUCACGUUCUCGUCAGCCCGACCCAAUCAAACAGAUAGUCCCAAAUACACGAGACGAUAUGAGAUAUAUCUCACACUUUCUACUGGCUGUCAGAUUUUAGUACUAAAUGUAGCAACUGGACUCACUAAUAAUAAUAACUUACUGGGUCACAACCACCACCAGCCCAAAAUAUUUAAAUUCAGCUAUUAUAACUAGUGUGUAUAAACCAAUCACACCCUUCUACAUAAUUUGUUGUGGGACUAUUAAAAUGUCACACGGUGUCCCAAGUGUAGCAUAUUUGUAGUCACUAGCCUCUGGAGUUUCAAGCUCUGAAACCAAUAGAAUGAGUGUUGUUUGCUUCAAAUAGUCCCAAAACAUGCAGUUUCUUCCAUUUCACUAUAACAUUAAUAGAAAAGGCACUUCAUGUUUGAGAAUAAUAUUUUUUUUUCUGGGCUUAUCACACGCACUAGGGGGUUGCCAACCCAACUUUUCUAUUCAUUGGAAAUCGUACUCUUUUCUUUAGGUUAUUCAGCUAAAUUGCACAAAAUAGUUUCUGUAAUCAACACAUAAAAGCCCAAGAACCGCCAGAUGGCAGUUAAGAAAAUACAGUUGCAGGAAUUGAAUGCUUUGGGACCGACCUGGAACCGUGCAAUGGUGACUAUUUUGAGCUCACGGUAAAUUUCCAACUAAAAGUGAUUAGUAGCAUCUAAACAUCCUAUCACCACUGAUAUAGAACAAGGAAUUCACACUAAUGCAAAACAGUGUGUUACUUACACUUGUAUCAGUGGAUCCUUCACACUUACAAUGUUAGUUGAGAGAGAGAGAGAGAGAGAGAGAUGCGAAAUUCCAUUAAACCCAACUGCAUGUUACCUGCAGGGAUAGUAAGAAGACAUUUCCAAAAACCAAAAGAAACAAAGGUUAUGCUAGUCGGAUCAGGAAUUAAUUAUAUAUAUAAUAUAGCAUAUGUAAUUUGUAUUCUUGUUUGCUUUAGUAUCAUCCCUUACUCUGUUACAUGUGGCCUAUUAGUGCUACUUAUACAGUAAUAGACAUUUGUGGCCUUACAGUAAAUUAUGUCCUACCAUUGGUUGCCCUCUUCGCGGCAAAGAGCUGUCGAAGGAAAGAGCGCUUGCCACUCCGCGCAUUGGAUGUGGCUGUAAUGGUGCCCCUACUGCUCGUUGGAACGGCUUUAGCUUCUUGAUUGGUGUUGGCUUCUCGGUCGGGUAACGGCGGGGGCAGAGUGAAAAGGAAGGUGUUUAGCAUGCGAAUGAUCUGGCCGAAGUUCGGCCGCAUGUUGGGGUCCUCGACCCAGCACGACUGCACGAUGAACACGAGCUCAGGGGGUGUGUCGUCCGGAAAAGGGGGCCGCAUUUGCUUUUUGAUUUCAAGAAAAAAACAAAGAAAGAGAGCUCAAAUCAGUAAAAUACAUUUCCAAUUCUCAUCGGCGGCAAUAGAGAUAUCUAAUAAGUAACUUUAAAAGGCCUGUUUCGCCCAGCUACAGCUUCUAUGGAAGUACUGUUUGAGGAAGGAACUAAGAGCCAAAUUGGCUUUGGGGCCUAGAAGCCCAUUUGAACUUUUCAUCGCAACAGAAGUUCGUUGCUGCAUGCGCCAAAUGUCCUACUCUCCGGAAGUAGAGAAGCUGCUAAACAAGUUGAGCCAAACAGGCACAAGAUGUAGAUGAUCGUAAGUAACAUAAGGUGCAAAGAAUCAUAUUUCAACAAAAUGAAGUACAUUUUCUAUAAGGCUAAACCCCCAAUGCGAUAGCAAACCAUACUACACUAUGUGUGCUUGUAAGUUAUGCAUUCUAAGCUUGACAAAAGAAGAAGCACAAAUGAACUUCAAAGAAGAAGUAUGCACGAGACACGAAUGCUGUUAAGCUGAACGCAGCAUAGAAGAACACAGCAUCAGCAUUUUUCAGAAUAAUGAGCAUUUAGUAGCCAUGAUUAGAAGCAGUCACCAGUUUGCUUCACCUUUUAGUUUACAAUUUUACCAAAAUGCAAUAACUAGUGACCAUCUUAAACCAAUCGUUUGUUGCUGCCAUUUAUAGGAUGAUAACCACUACAAUGAUCUAGAUCAUGUCAACAGAAAGUAGGAAAAUAGGGUUUAGGGUUUGGGGCUUAGGUAAUUGAAAGCUUAUCCUCACCUUGAAAGCAGCAGCAUAUGCAGCCUGAAGGUUGGACAUGCCUUCAAAUGGCAUUUUGUUGGUCAGCAACUCCCAUAAAACAAUACCAAAGCUGUACACAUCAACCUUGUUCGUGUAAUGCUUCUUCUCACCGUGUCGCAGAGUUACAGUGCUGUACAACUGUAAUUUCAGUAGAUUUUAGAUUAUUAGCAGGGGCUUACGGCCAAAAAUCAAACCAUUUAAGAACAAGAAAUUGAAACUAUCUUUUAUAAAGAACACGGUCGUGAUAGCAACACAUGGCUUCCUAGAGAGAUUAGAGGAAAGAAAUAUAGCCUGUGGAUCACAAAGUUGACAUACAAUGUGCUUACAAGCGAUAUUUUAAUGUGUUUGGACUUUGAUUCAUUCUACUGACAUUAAAGACGAAAACCAAACUAAAGUACAGUGAAAAGAGGCUUUCACAUAUGUCCCUGCAAAAUUAAUUAAAUAUAUACCUCGGUAAACUCCGAAUCUCAAAAGUGCAGACUCUUGCAAAAAUACACUUAUCUCAAAUUGGGGAGUUAUCUAAUUCAUGGAAAAAGUUGGUUUUUUAUUAGAUAAAAUUUAUUGAAGAGAAGCAUUUCUGCAAGUACAGGGGUACAUAUGUAUGAAAGUUACUGAAGGAUGUGAAAUUUCAGAUAUUGUCAGGAUAUAGCAAACAGCUGAUUUUGCAGGGACAUUUAUGUAAAUAUCUCUAAAGAGAUUACUGACGCAUCACCUCUGGAGCCAUCCAUCGGUAAGUUCCAGUUUCAGCUGUCAUCAUCUCUGUUACAGUUUCUUCUCUAGCAAGCCCAAAAUCAACAAGCUUUACAUUUUUCUGAUUUGCAGUAAGCAACAAAUUGUCUGCACAUUUGAACUACCUUUGAUCAGUGACAUUCUAGGCAGUAAUACAUAAUUUGUUCAUAAGUCUAUCUGAAUACACAUAUGCAAUUAUGCAUUUAAUAGCAAGAAAAAACAAGGGAAAAAAGGGGGCAUCACUAGGUUUUAGGAGUAAAAAACAAUGAUAAAAUCAAGUUUGGUAUUACAAGUCUUUAAACAGACUUAUGCACCAAGAAAGUACUUAACGUAAAAUGUCUGGAUAUUAACUGGGUUAGUCUAAGGUGCCACUAGUUUCAAAAUACAAAAGUACUGCUGUGAUGCUUUAGACUAUCUAAGGAAAGUGUCACUAGAUUUUUUCUGCCUGCUGAGUCAAGAAAUAGAACGAGAAAUAGUGAAAUUAACAAACAAGUAAAUGCUCUCCAUAUUCCAAUUAAACAAAAUAGUGUUAUAACAAAUUAUAGAGAAUAGAAUACCAGAAGCAUGAAGUGCAUGCAACUUAUGUUUUUGCCUCUACGAGGCAUAAUCCUCCAAAUAAGUCAUAAAAUCUCGCAAAUAAGACUAAUCACACUAUUUCACAUGUAUAUUAAUGGUCGAAAAAAGAGAGAGCAAUCUUUAUGUGCUUUCUACAUUUUUAUCAUAUUUUUCAUAUUUAUAACUAAGAAAUCUUAACAUGAAAGAAAUACAGCAAUUUAUGCAAAAUCGCUCGCACUUUGAUAUGUUAACAUGUCAUAAAACUUAAGGAAUCUAGGUCUGUCCAAGUCUCUAUAAUUCUACUGGUAUUUAAGAAUCUUUCAAGACCCUCAACACUAAGCAUGCUGAAGUUAAAACUAAAUGAUAAAUGUCUUGUGAUUAAGGGAGAAAAAAAAGGGAAAAAAAAGAAAAAAGAAAAGAGAGAUGAUAAGCACCAGGUUUCAAGUCUCUGUGUAUUAUCCCAUUAGCAUGUAGGCACUCCAUUGCAUGAGCAAUGUCAAGUGCAAAAUUUAUUGCUGUGCGAAGAUCCAGUAUUCCGGGCUGCAUACUGCUUAAAUAUUUCUUUAACGACGUUCCUGGCAGUAGUUCACUGGCAAUCACCAUGAUUGGGUCCUUGCAGGCUCCAAUAAACUUCAUAAAAAAAGUAAUAUGAGUAUAAACUAGACUAAAUCUCUGGAGAAAUAUUAAAGCACUAAAACGAAGAAUCAAAUCAACUAAGAAAACAUGUUGCUCAGUGAACAGGAGCCAAUAAAUGAUGAAUUCAAGUUACAAAGCUGAGAAUACACCUUGACGAGGUUCUCAUGUUUCACUCUAGACAUCAUAGUUACUUCUCGAACAAAGCGAGCUUCAAGUGUAGCCCUUUCUUCAGGAGUAUCGCCACCAUUCAAAACUUUUAUUGCUACGAUUUGCUCGCCAUACCUGAUUGAAAUAAUAUCUAACGAGUAAAGACAAUUAUCUGCUGCUAAUCAUAAAAAUCUGAGCAAGUAAUUCUUUCUCAAGAAUAUUUUCAAUUUGAAUUUAAAACUAUGAUGAGUGCAAAAUAAGAUGCAUUUUCAGUUCAUAUGAAGCUCAAAUAAAUAUAGGGACACAGAUGACAGAUCAUUAAUGAAUAAAAUGUUGGUUAUGUGCUACUACAGUUUCUAUUCUUAAAAAAAAUCAUACGCAAAUAUGUCUGUUUUCCGCAGGAAUGAAGCAAAAUGUUAGAAGCUCAACCAAAUGAAUCAAGCAGAAGUGACUGACAGGGUUCACAAAACCUAAAUAAAUAACUGAAAUUUUUACCAUAUUCAUCUGUUCGAAGAACAAGCGCAAACCAAAUAUGUAUUCCGACAGAAUCCUCUUUUCAAGCCCUAACACAAAGUUUUAAUAACUGUGGCAUGAGAGCAUGCCACUGACAUGCUGGCACUGCACAUGUCAGCUCACAUGCCAUCAGCACAUCUGCUCAAAUGCUUGGCAUGUCAUAGCACAAGGAUUUUGGAGAUUUCUUCAAAAGAACAUAUAACCAUUAAAAACGCACUUGACGAGAUUGCUUGUUUUACCAAAAUACUAAAAUCCUCCUAAUUUAACCCUAUGCUCAUCAAACUCCGCCCACCAAAUGCUAAAUGAUGCUUCAAUAGAUUUGUCUUAUAUGUUAUUCACUACCCAUUAGUUUCAUGCAACUUUUACAAACUUAGUUUGAUUUGCUUAAGGUAACCGGUUAGGAUCUCACCUUAAAGGACUAGUCAGGAUCUAGUAUCUAGAUUCUUUUGUCCUACAUAGCAAGAUAUUCUUGACCACAUCCAAUUUUAGAUAUAAUAUGCUCCAAAUACAGGUCCUCACAAUCAACUAGGAAACAAAGUAUACUUUUUUUGAGUUAUAGGAGUAAACAAAUCCUCGAAAAAAAUGUAAUGGCAGCUUACACUCAAUAUAUUAAGCUAUUCACAAUCAACAAUACUAAAGAAAAGAAAGAGAAAAUUCCCAAUUAUAAGCUCAUAUGCAAAAGGAGAAAACUUCUCCACUUGAACUAAGACACAAGAAAUUUCCCAAUUUCGUCGUGAAGUAAUAAGUACUCUACCAAUCAACUAAUCAUAUUGAUUUCAGUUUAAUCGGAUAUUCCUCAACAUACCUUCCCUCGUAUACUUUCCCAUGAGCUCCCUCCCCAAUCUUCGACCCAAUAAAGAGCGACCUGGGGUUAAGAAGCAGCUUCUGAUCAAUCUCUAGUGGCUGCGGAGCGCGAAGAGCAUCCCCGCUCGUUCCAACGGAAUUAUCGGCGACUUUACUCAUCCCUACCCGUUUAAUCUCGUCCCCCUCUCUCCUCCCAUCCUUAGACUCCUCACCACAACUCAUACUACGGCGAGCUCGGCACGAGGAAGAAGCUACGCUCUCGGACUCCUCAAACUUACACAACAUACUAAACAACAACAAGAACGACAACGACGACAACACACCUUAUCUCACAUCGAUCGGCUCCGAAUCACAGCAAUCACAUCAAAAACCCUAAUUUGGGCCCCAUCCAACAAGGUUUCUCCGCUUAUAUAGGCGAUAAAGGGCUCAACACAAGGCGAAUUCGAAAGGAGAAGCGAUGCAUAGAUCGAACCAGAGAAUGUAAAGUCGGGGAAAAGCUCCGCCCAGUGAUUCAGCAGCUUCCACGUCUACUAGGAGCCCCUUUCAAGUGUCACUUCGAAGCAAAACCCUAAGCGUAACCCUAACCCUAACCCUAGAUUCUUCUUCUUCUUCUUCGUCGUCGUCGUCGUCGUCGUCGUCGUCUUCUUCUUCCUCUAUCUCUAUGGAGUUAGGAGAAGUAGUAGGGUUGUUAGAGAAGGUUUUCCGAUCAUCGGCUUAUUACUACGGCGGCGGUCGCACCCCUUUUUAUGCCGCAGAGGAUAAUAAAAAAUAAAAGAAAAGAAAAAUGAAAAAAAUAAAAAAAAAUUGGCAUUUUGCACGUGUGUCCCUCAGAAUAAUUGUAUUUCAUGUCCGCACCUUGGGAUUGAAGGUUACUAAUAAUUAAGUAUAUUAAUUAUUUUUUGACGGUAUAGUAAAAAAUAUAUUGUAAUGUGAUAUUAUGUAUACAAAUAAAUAAAAUAUUAUUUUGUAAUACCUUUUCAUCACGCAUAAUAGAAUUUUUCUGUAAUUCUAAAUGGAACCUUAAAAGUUUGAUGUCGUGUUUAAUAUGUGCAUCGCUUCUCAAUACCAUUCAAACAAAAAAAUAUGUUUGGUUUUACUUUAAAAAAUUAUUUAAAUUUUUUCUUGGUAGUAAAAUGAAAAGCUACCAAUUAAGCAACUUGCUUUAGAAGCUCAUAAUCUCAACUCUUAUCAAACAAAAGCUCUAAAUAUUUUAGUUUCUCAAAUACUCGUAAAAAAAUAAUUCUAACUAAAAAAAUAUAUAUGACCAAACUAGACUAACUCUUAUCGAACAUUAAAAUUAUACAAAAAUAAUUAUUAUCUUAUUUUUUUUACAGUAAUACUCUUAUUUUUUACAAAAUAACGAUUAUCUUUUUUUUUUUUUACAUCAAAAUUACUCUUUCUCUUUAUACCAAAGUACAUUAGAGUUUCCAUGCAACUCUAUUAUUUGGUAGAAGGUAUGAGAGCAAAUAUGUAAUUAAGAAAAUAAACAUGUAAAUAUAUCUGUAUAUUCCAAAAUUUUUAAUACAGGCGUGUGUACGUGCACUAUCAUGAAAAAAAAAUCUAGAAUAUAUUAGUUAUAUUACUAACAUGGUAUUUUAAACAAAUAAAAUUAUAUUUCUAAGAUUUUUUCGUUCCAUCAUAAUUAAUAAAAAAAAUUACAUAAUAUUUGUUUAAAAAAAUAUUAUUAAUUUAUUAAUAAUUAUGUUGUAUAAGCAUGACACUUCGCUGUACGAGAGUGUUGAAGCAUAUUCGUGUAUUCACGCGUGUGAAAAUUCGUAAAAAAGGUUUGGAGAACCAAUCAGGUACCGCCACGUCAGAUAGAGAGAGAGAGAGAGGGAGAGGGGGGGAGAAAACGACAAUUCCGGUUUCCUGCUCGUUUCCCGUCGCGUUUCCCCGCGCGAAGACCAUUUUGAGUCACGUGAUGAAUAGGGACUUAGAGGGUGACGGAUCAUCACGACCGUCGGAUCGUCUCGGACGGUCGGACCCUUUCUACGUACGGCGAUCCAAGAUAUUUUUUUUUUGUUCUGUGGGACCCACCAAGCUAACUGUAGUUUGACUUAAAGGGCUACGUGGGGGCGGCUACUGUAAUCUGGGUGGGGCCCAUCGAUUCGCUUUAAAUUUUGGGACAUUUUCAAAAGUCCCUCUUUGGUUCAAAAUAUUUAUAAUUUAGUACCACAUGGUUCAAAAUUUAAUUGUUUUUUUCUUAAUUUAUUUUAACAAUUUAUUGCUAAAAAUUUGAAAGAAUAACAAAAUACUGCACUCUAUAAUAAGUAAAUAUAGAGCUUUCCAGCUCUCUUAUAGCUACUUUUGUUUUUUUUCAAAGAACUAAAAUAAAAAUACAUAAAUAUAUAAUAAACUUCAAAUUAUAAAAAUGUAAAAUAUAAAUAUAUUAUACUGCAGGGUGCUUUUUUUAAUAAUUUUAGGGUGGUUUAGACAUUGUUUUCGAGCACUCUCGUUGGUUUAAUUAAAAAAUGGUCUCCACGCGGAAUCUCUCCGUGUUUUUAGCCACGCGGAUCAGCUGCGGCGCAAGUCUUCAUUAUAAUAAUAAUAAUAAUAAUAAUAAUAAAAUAAUAAUAAUGUACCCCCAAAAUAUCUCCUAUAAAAAAAACCGGACCGGGCCGGGAAUUUCUUGGAUUAAACAGACCCAACCCAUAAAUAUCUCGUUUGGGCCGCCCCGGUUCGGUUUAUUUGGGCUGUGGCGCGACUCACAAAAGCGAGGAAAAUUAUGGGCCGCCUCCUGGAAGAAAUUAAACCGGGCCGGUUACAUUGGGCUGGGCCUAGCCUAAAGUAGACCGAACCAAUUUGUUAUCUCACUUAACAUUGGACGGCUAGGAUUAGAUCCCGCUUCCACCACCCCACCAUAUAAAUAGUCGUCGUCGUGAUUCCUUCUUCCCGAUCCAAAACCCUAGAGGAGCGAAAUCAACGGGGACGCCGCUGCCGCUACUUCCUUCGUUGAGGCGAUCGAGACAUCCACGACAAUGGUAACGCCAAAACCCUAACCCUAGAUCCCUCUCUUCUUCUCAUGAUCUCCAUUAAUGGAAUCCCCCUCCACCCCCUUUCUCUCUCUAGACCUUCAAGCGCAGAAAUGGCGGGCGCAACAAGCACGGACGCGGCCACGUCAACUUCAUCCGCUGCUCCAAUUGCGGAAAAUGUUGCCCCAAGGUAUCAGUUUCUUAAUCACUGAAGAAUAAAACCCUAGAUCUACACCAAUGACCCGAAUUAGAUGCUCAAGCUCUAUUUAUUUUGCAAUUUUAUCUCUUUUGCUUUUGGGAUUCGAUUAAGGACAAGGCCAUUAAGAGGUUCAUCGUGAGGAAUAUCGUCGAGCAAGCCGCUGUGAGGGACGUGCAAGAGGCCUGCGUAUACGACGGUAUGUGUUUUACCUAUAUCUACUUAAGUUCUCAUGCGAAAAUACCUACUCUAGUACUAUCUUAUUUUUAGUUUCAAUUUGAUCCGCACAACUUGAUUUGAUUUAACAAAGUAUCCACUAAUUCACCGAAGUUAGGAUUUUCAUACCAAACUAAACUCUGGUUGUUUGCAUCAAACAAAAGCGAGUGAUAUUAGAUGUUUACUAAGGUUUAGCUUGUUUUUAUAUCAAUAUGAGCCAUACAGGUUGUUUGAUUCAAGUUAGGCUUUUUAGAUAAAGUCAAACCUCGUGGGCCGAAUUGAGCUUUUUGGAUCAAAUGGAAUACUAGAUAACUAGUAGGUUCUCUUUAACCAAAUUAAGCUUUAUGGGUAAGUUGAAAUGGAAAAUAAGUUAUUGGGCUUCUUGUGCAUUAGAUUAAAGUUUGUGAGUUGAAAUGCAAGCAUGAAAGAAUUAGUGGGUUUUUGUGAUCCUAACCCCUUUAUUGAAUGUGGACAUCUUUUUAAUUGUUCUAACCCUUCGAUCACCUGACUUCAAUUUGUUGACGUGGAAAAUUUUAUUGCUCCUUGUCUUUCCAGGUUACAUUCUUCCAAAGCUCUAUGCUAAGAUGCAGUACUGUGUCUCCUGUGCCAUCCAUUCUCAUGUCGUUAGGGUCAGAUCCCGAGAGGCAAGGAGGAACCGUGAACCUCCUCAACGUUUCAGGCGCAGGGUAAUUCCUCUAUACUUAUGAUUUAGAAUACUCUAUUGUUAGAAAAAUUUUGUUAUUCAUUAAUUGCUUUUAAGUAAAUAUGCAUUAAUGAUUGGUUUUCAAAGUGGUUUUAUCAGAAAUAGAAUUGUCGGAAUGUGAAUGAAAUUCCUUGUCUAAUGUUUUCUCUUUCAUUAUAAAAUUAGUUACUUGCACAGAAAUAAGUUUCUUUUAGUUGCAAAGAGUUUUGUUCUAUUUUAUGGUAAUCCUUGUUGGCUGUUAUUGUUACCUCUUUACUUGUGUAAUUCAUAGGGUUUUUUGGUUUAUCGCUUUUGCUAGGCGUUGCGUUCAUUGGGUCUUUUUCUGUAAUGGACGCGUCAACAAAAGCGUAAAUUAACAUUUCAAAAUGGCACAAUGCGGACUGUUUUUCUAUGACUAUUCAUUUUCCUAGUUGUUAUCACCCUGCUUGUGCUCAUUUCUAUAAUUUCUUCCAUCUAUCUAUUGCACAAAACAAAUGGGUUUUUGAUGCUCUUUAGUGAGUGAGAAGUUGAGCAUUUGCUUUAUUCCCUAGGUUAAGUGAAAAUUCACACAUGAUUUAUGAAUUUUACAAAUCUGUGGAGACUUUUUUGCUGCUUUUAUUCAAAUAGGUGAUUAAACGUCCCACGUCAGUCUUAUCUUUUGAAUCAUAUGUAAUGUUUUUUACACUUUUUUCUGGCCUGUUUGCAUGGGCAUCUAGUGUCUUUAAUAUUNGUGGGUCAACUACUCAGUAAGAAGAACCACAGCUUUGAGGACCAAAAUACCGAGGUUGGAUGCGCGUGAGAAGACCUACUCCUACUCAUCUUUUUUCGAUUCAUUCUAUUCCUUCAGACCCAGCAAUCUCCGAUAAAGACCCGAAAAGCUCCGCAUCCGCUAACAUUUUAAUAUUUUUUUUUUUUUUUUUCCUUUGAGACCGGAUGUCUGGCCCAUUGGCUGAUUCCCGGUACCUCUGGGAUUAACCGGUCUCGCAUAUGUGAUCUCCAUCCUCUUCACUUUGUCAGCUAAUGUAGUUCCAUUUUUAGCUGAUCAUUAAAGAUGGGACAUUUUUCAAAGGAAAAUAUUUGAAGGAAGUCCUUUCUUUUUGGUGAAGUAUAAUUCAAGCGAGGUCAAUCUCAUAACAUCUCUGUCGUUCACAGUUAUGUGAUCUCAACACAUCAUUGGCAAAAUAUUUUUUCUAAUUAAAACUUAUUUGGCAUAAUUGCAUAUUUAAUACAGCAGCGUCAAUUAUGUUCUUAAUUUAAAUUAUAAGAAUUAGAUCCUUGAGGUCUGCAAUAGAAUUGAGUCCUUCGGUUAGUAUACUAUAGAGUGGGCACCAUGUCAUUGCCGGAGGUUGCUGAGAUGGGAGGUUUUGAGGUAAUCAUUGAGAGCUGGUGAUGCUAACAUGUGAUCUCUUAGAUUGGUUGGUUAAUAAAAGGACUUUGUUGUUAUACAAAGCAAAUUUCUUGGUACAAAUUGCUCCAAGGACAUGGUGGCAACAGAAUAUUCCAUCAAGCAACAUAAUAUUCUGUUAGAUGAUAGAAUAUUCUGUCAAGUCUAAUAUACUACAAUAUUAGGCAUUACAGUCAAAAUUGUUGAAACUAAUGUUUCGAUUGUAAAAUACGUAAAGGCUCUGCAUUUUUAACUUAAUACUUUGCAUCCCAGGCUCAUAUAUAACAUCAAACUAUUGUAUUAUAUUUUGUAGGAUGAUCCAGGGAGGCCGGGGCAACCCCCACGUGCAGCUGGAGCUCCUACCGCCGCCCGCCCGUGAUGUUUCCUUGGUUCCAUGCUUGAUACCUGCUACAAGAUCAGUUGCUUUGUCUUUCAACUCCUUCCUGAAUCUUAAAAUUGUGUUUCGUGAGGGUCAAUUUUGUUUAGUGUUACAUGUGACAAAAAUUGAUUCUAUUCUAUUUCGUCAAAACCUGUUUUAUUGCGUUCAUGAUUCUUGAAGAUCUUGUUGGAUAUUUACUGGCUUUCUAAUAUGAUUUCGUCAUCCGUGUAGGAAUGGCUUGUAGAUUGCUGCGGGUGAAAUUUUGGUUAUGGAUGUUGAAACUAGUGAUCAUCUGUCCUUGUGUUUGAUGAUUCUUUGUUAGUUGUAUGAGAAGAUUGUAUUUUGAUCUCACUUGUGCUUUUAAAGAGAUCAAGCUUCGUGCGACGCAAGAAAUUUACCAUCAAGGUAUCUAGAGAAAAAAUAAAAAAUAAAAAUCACACUUAUCCACAAAUUAAAUAUUCGAGUAAUAAGAAGAUACUUAUACGGAGAGAGAUUGAAGUAUGAGACAUAACUAAUGCAUGAGAUGCAAUGUGAAAAGCAUCUCAAAUUGAAAGCAUCUGUUUAUUUUUAAUUCUGGCUUUGUUGAACUGUUCUUUAGAAACACAAUAUUUAUACAACAACGUGUACGUCAGUAUGUGCAAUUCAACACCAACAGGGAAAUUAAUUAAGCAUGGAUUAAUUGUUAUUAAUUGUCGUGCUGAUCCAAAACCAUUUGUUCUAUUUCUAUUCAACCCCCAGGAAUCUUUCAAACCUGCACCAUAAACGUACAAAAAUAUAUAUUAUGUAUAUUCAUCAUAAGGCCAUGUUAGCUUAGCUAAUAUCUCCAAAGACGAAGACAAAAUAUGUAGGCCCUUCGAUUGAUAAGUAAUUAUUAAACUAAAUUUCUCUAUAUAUGCUGGCACCGAGAGUUGAGUUGGUGCAUGCCCUUCAUUGCUUUAAUCUCUCAACACCUUCACAUUGCUAUUUCCUGUUGCCUUCUUUCUUUCUCCGCCCUUCGGUAUGUAUACAAUGAUUUAUUUUUCCUCGAAACAACUUAAAUUAUUUUGAGAUUAUCUUUUUCUGUUUAGGGAUAGGGAAUUCAAUUAAUUAAGUGCAUUUAAUUGCAUGCGCGCAUAAGCUAGCAUAUUAUCGUUUAAUUUGUUUGCCAUACAUAAAUAUGCUUUACUCUUGAGUUUAAUGGGAACUUGCAUACAUACGUAUGUAUACCAACGAAUGAAUAGUACAUGCAUGCAUGGCAUGUUCCUUUUCUCAAAUGUCAAGUAAUUAAAUGCGUAUAAGGGUGAACCAAAAAAAUCUUCGGUUUAUGAGCAAUUUGUUCAUAGAAAAUAGAAGAUUCAGAGAUUAAGGAUUUGAUGCACUUUGAUUACCUAUAUGUACCCGGUUGAUUGCUACUGUUUCCUCUAUUUGUCACCUUCUAACUUUUUUGUCAUUAAAUCAAGUAUCUAAUUUUUAUGUUUUAUCGCUUUCAUAUAUUCUUCAAAACAUCAGAGAAUAGUGGAAUAAAGAAUGUUGGUAGCCUCGACCCGCAAAUUAUUCAGUCUAUUUUGUGAUGGACAGUGUUUAUUAGAAAUUUACAUGUGAGUAGUUUCGCAUCACAUAACUAAUUUAUUAAAGAGUAAAUGAUUGAUAUAUCGUAAUGGAUCUUGACCUAAUAAGUUUUAAGCAUUUAAGGCUAGAUGAGUUACAGUAAAUAUGCCAUAUUCUUUUUCUUUUUCUUUUUCUUUUUUUUUUGAGAGAUAGGUAGCACGCUACCCGCUUCGUUUAUUUCAUUUAGAAAUAAACUUAGCUGUAAAUAUGAAUCAACUUAACUUGGGUUUCGGGUACCAAUCACUAAAUCCUUUGCCACUUGCUCUAGGGACAGUGCCAUAUUCUUGGAUCUAUAUUCUUGGAUCCAUGUGGACUUAGGAUGAAUUGCGACUCUCCUAAUAAGCAGUAUCAGAGGCGAUAGUUUGGCAAUUUUAGAUUACUCGCUUAUAUGGUAUGGUUGAAUCGAGUUACUAGCUCACAUGAACAUGAUGGACUAAUGGAAGGAAGUCAAUUUAUAUAAUGCGAUAUGAUGGCUUAACGCAAUCAAAAUAGUUGGGUCAACAAAUUAAGCAUGUGUUAGGCAUAUAAACUCACGAGAGGGGCGUAGGUUCGAUACAUCGGCUUGGACGAUGAUCAGUGGAUUCGCAUUAGGUUUAGUGCAAUGUUUGAGGAGAUUGUUAAAAAUUUAUACAUAAUCAGUCUCGCCCCAAAUAACUAAUAUAAAACGUAAAUAAUCAAUAUAUACAUACUAAUGAACUGAAAGCUAAUUAUACACCAAAAUUUUUUGGUUUAAUGUGUUCUGCUAAAUUUAUCACAAUCUUAGAUCUACGAGACUUUGAUAAGUAUCGCACAAAGGUGCUGGCAAUUGCAUGGUGGCGACGGCAAUCAAUUGAUCAUCUUAAUUAUGAGCGUAAUGCAUUGUCAUAAAAAUUUAUAAUCAUAUCGACCUACCAAUAAACUAAAAAUCAAACUGUUGCAGUCACAAAAGAUUUAUAAUCUCUAUGCUAGGCAAAUUAUAGGCAGCUAGUUUAAAUUCUUAAGAAAAUGCUAUUCUUACAAACCACUUCUACAAUAAAUUUCUAAUUUAAAAUUUAGUAGUUACGUUUUUAUUCUUUGUCUUACGAACUACAACAAUCACCUCAUGAAUGAUACCAUUUUGCCAAUUAAAAAUGGGUUGGUAAGGAAAUAUAUUAAAAAUUAUAAAAUUUAUCUGUAAGUAUAGCGUUACUUAAAUUCUUAGGAGCUGCAUAUAUGGGCUGAAGAGUGCUACAAUCAUAUUCACAGUUGCAGAGCACGUCGAGUGCAAUUUCGAAGUCCACGAAACCACGGCCCAUAAAAGACAAACAAGGUGGCCCAUUGAUGGGAGAAGAUUAGGUUGAGCUUAUGGGUCGGGCUUCUCCCACACAACCCAAAUUAAUGGGCCUAAUAUAUGUUUCUACUGGGUUGGAUCGACCACGUACAUCCGAACCCGAAAUUUAUUUAUAUAAUAAGCCCAGGCGUACGUGCUCUCGUUUUCACCAUGCAUGCAAUUAGCUUAAAGAGAAAUAAUAAUGCAUGCCCUAGCUAGCUAGGGGUUGCGUUGAUCAAGUAGAUCAACCUACCUGUGGAAGGUGCCUGAGGGGCCGGUGAGGGAUUCUCUCUCCCUCUCUCUCUCUCUCUUCCCCUCCCUAAAGGGUGAUAGAGACUCUCUCUCUCUCUCUCUCUCUCUCUCUCUCUCUCUCUCUCUGUGAGACACACACACGCUCUUCUCUAUAGAGAGAGAGAGAGAGAUCUCACAACACCCGCUUCUCUCUCUCUCUCAUACGCAAACACUUCUCUAGAGAGAGAGAGAGAGAGAGAGAGAGAGAGAGAGAGAGGUCACACAUGACACACCCACCCACCCACCUCUCUCUCUACCUCACACACACAUCUCUCUAUUGAGAGGAGAGAGAUCUCAAACAUACCCGCCUCUCUCUCUCUCUCUCUCUCUCUCUCUCUCUCUCUCUCUCAUAGGCACACACUUCUUUAGAGAGAGAGAGAGAGGGUCACACACACCCCCACCCACCUCUCUCUCUACCUGACACACACUUCUCUCUAUGGAGAAGAGAGAGAACUCUCACAUACCCGGUUCUCUCUCUCUCUCAUACGCAAACACUUCUCUAGAGAGAGAGAGAGAGGGUCACACACACCCCCACCCACCUCUCUCUCUACCUGACACACACUUCUCUCUAUGGAGAAGAGAGAGAACUCUCACAUACCCGGUUCUCUCUCUCUCUCCCUCCCCCCCAUACACACACACUUCUGUAGAGAAAGAGAGGCUCACACACGCACCCACCCACCUCUCUCUCUACCUGACACACACUUCUCUCUAUGGAGAAGAGAGAGAACUCUCACAUACCCGGUUCUCUCUCUCUCUCCCUCCCCCCCAUACACACACACUUCUGUAGAGAAAGAGAGGCUCACACACGCACCCACCCACCUCUCUCUCCCUCACACACACGCACACACACUCUUCUCUAGACAGAUAUCGAGAGAGAGAGAGAGGGAGAGAGAGAGAGGUGGGUGUGAGAUCUCUCUCUCUCUCUCUCUCUCUCUCUCUCUCUCUCUCUCUCUCUCUCUCUCUCUCUCUCUCUCUCUCUCUCUCUCUCUCUCUCUCUCUCUCUCUCUCUCUCUCUCUCUCUCUCUCUCUCUCUCUCUCUCUCUCUCUCUCUCUCUCAUACACACACACACUUCUCUAGACAGAUAUCGAGAGAGAGAGAGAGAGAGAGAGAGAUCUCACACACAUACCCCCACCUCUCUCUCUCUCCCUCACACACACACACACACACACAUUCUCUCUCUCGGAGAUUAAGUUGGUUGAUUUCUAAAUAGACACAAAAUUGACUCAUGCCCUAUCCUUUAUUCAAAAGAGAAGAACACUGCUACGCUUAAUUAUCUCAAGUUCCUUUAGAUAUGGAAACGGCAUAAUCAGUUAAUUAGCUAGUGCUUUUUUGGUAAACUUUUUAAAUAUUAAUUAGUCUUAUUCAACCACCGCGGUUUCUUACCUCAUCGAUAUAAUUGAGGGAAAGCCUUCUAGGGCACGCACAAUCUAAAAAUGUUACUUAUUCUCAAUUAAUCAUUAAUUAAUUAGAAGCUACUUUGUCAACACAAAUGCAUUGUCAUCAAACACAAAUAAUAAGAAAGCAAAGGACAAGUACUGUAAUCAAUAUUCAGUAAUAUUAAUUACUGCAAAAGACAAUGUAGUCAAGUUACAGAAUCCUGCAAACGACUUAGAAAUUACCACAUUUAUUUUUUCACCUAUAAAUUUGUAUAGAGCCCCACCACAAACAGGAUUACAAGACACUAACUAUACAACAACAAAGCCAAUGUCCUCCUAAAACCUUUCGGAAAACAAAGCCAGUAUUGAUCGAUCGCCUAUUAUAUGUGGAGACAGAUAAAAUAGACCAAAACAACAUUAACGAUGACAACAACAACAACAUAUCUAGCAAUCUUUCAGAAAAACUCUCUCUGAGAUCCCCCGUAGACAACAUUUUGGAAGUAAAUAAUCACAGUAAUUAUGUGUAGCUCGAAACCGAGAUUAUCACUUCCAUUCAUUUGGUUAUGUAUGAUGGAAGUGAUAAAUUGAAGUUUUGAUAGAAGUCCACUUCUAUCUGAAAAUUCAAUUUUUAUGUUAUGUCGACUUACCCCCAACGAAACGUUCCCUUGGCUAAGAUAGCACGAUGAAGAGCAUCACCGCCCCGGCCAGGAUCAUAACUAGCUGCAGCAACAAACUAACAGAGUAAAAUAUUUCAACGAUCGAAGCCCACAUUUCACCGUGCGGCGGUUCAAACAUGAGGCCUAUCCAGAUCAGGCCGGAUUCGAUGGCCAAUAGCUGGAAGAAUGCGCACACCUUUAGCCCUAAACUCAUGUAAUAUUGCUGUGGUGCAAUCCCCACACUCUCCACGCAUAUGAAUGCUAGUAGGCCACCAUUGACUGAGAUCAGCAUUGCAAUGCCGUUCCUCAUCACACCCGCAUAGCGUGGGUCAUGGUAUAAGGGUCGAGCACUAGUUGGAUUUCUCAGGCCGAUACCCAGAUACUCCUGGAUGAAGUAUACGAAGAUAGGGAUGAGCGCCAGCGAGAACACGCCCACGACUAAGGUUUCCAAGAACUGCAUGGCGAGCGCAGCGGCUGAUAGCCCGAGGAGGACCAAAAUAGCAGUGCUGCUGUAUCUCACAAAGCUUGAAAGGCUCCCUCUCCAAAAGGAGUAAUGAGCAGUUAAGGGGAUGGAGGUAACCAUCAUAACAAAGAUGCCAACCAUGGUGAUCAGGAAGAAGAGACUCAGCGCAAGUUGGAAACUUUGCAAUGCUUGGAGGGGAGGGCUUUUGAAGGAAGCAUAAAUCAUACCCGUUUGUACUGUGAUGGCCAUAGUUGCCAUAGCAGUAGCGAACUUGAAGGCCUUCUUUUGCUCCGGUUUGUAGCUGUUGAUCGAAGAUGCACAACAUGCAUGUUAAUUGAAAAUGUUGUUAAGCCUAGGCUUUUAGAGGCAGCUCCCAUCACCCCUCAAAAAUGAUAUAAAUAUUAGAUUAGCUGAUUCCGUUAUCUAUUAGUAAGUUUACCGAUGAAAAAAUGACCUAAGCUCAUGUAUAUAUGUUUCAAAUUAAAGAGAAAAUUACAGCUUACUUUUUACAUGAACAUGUAGUUCUUCAACUUUUCAAAGCAAAACUUAUUUCCAGCAUUCGAUACUUUUUUAACAAAUAGAAUUAGAGAAACAUGUUAAUGCCAAGUUUUUUUGUCAAAAAAAACACUAAAUUUAGUACCCGAGUCUUCUCUCUGAAUAAACUUGACACGCAAUAACAGCACAAGCUAAUAUAUAAUUUGAUACAUUUAUAAGAAGUUCAUGAGAUGCUAAUUCAGUUCACCUGAGAAGAUCAUUAAGCUAAUAGUACUAUCGAAAUGUAUAAAAACACAUAAUAUAUAUACCUUUCAUGGUUGGCACUGUCGUGGUCGUUAACAUUUUGUGUAGCCCUAUAUCCAAGGAAGCAUAUGAUAGCUAUCACAGGAAUUACAAUAAGACUCAUCCCUGCACUGUCCUUGCUCAGGAGUACUAUGGAGAAAAAGCUUGUCACAAUUAAAAGUACACAAGAUGUGGUAAUCCCGCCUAUGAGAUAUAUCUUCUGGUUUCGGUUGAUUCGAUUAUAAUGCCCAAAGAGAAAAAAUGCGUACAGCAACAACAAGAUGGGGGAUUGAAGAGUGGCCCAGAUGAGGAAAUUGUAGGCUUUGAUAACUGUGGAGGAAUGCAUGGCUCUUAUAUCUUUGGUUCCGUUCAAAAAUGCUAAGAGUAUUACAAAAGCCAUGGUUAUUUUCACACCCGAGAAAGCUAUGAUUCGCUUCAACUGGUCCCUAACUACUUUAAUUUUCUGUUCAUUUUCUCCUUCAUUGUCUUCUCCCUGUUGGUUUAUCUGCAGUUACGUCAAACAAGUAGUAAGUGUUUUGUAUAUACAUACAUAUAUAUGUAUGAUUAAUUGAUAUGCAAAUUAGAGGCCACUGGAAAUUAGCAAACAUAUUUAGAAGAUAGAGAUUGAAAGAGAGCUUCAUUAUAUAUUUAUAGAUUAGGCACCAUGAGAUAAUUCAUUAACCAAAAAAUUUACUAUUGGUAGGCUUAAAAGUUUUAUCACGAAAAUAAAGAUGAUGAUUUGAGAAAUAUAAAACUUAUAGAUGCAUCACAGGCUUAUUUUUACUACAAGACUCAAAGAUCAUCAUAUCACAAGCUUGUAAACCCACAUCCAUAUGGCUGUAAUUGAGAUGAAAAAUAAACAUUAACCCACCAGUGUAGUUAGCUUAGUUUUUGAUUGGUCUUGUCUCAUGAAAAAAGUUUUGGAUAUACUUAGCCACUAUGGCAGGGUAUAUAGUUUUAAGUAAUACCGCCAAAUGGUACCAUAAUAACCCAUACGAAUGGUGAAUUACGAAUUCAUAAUUAAUAUUAUUUGAACCUGCAGUGAUGAUGCUUAGGAAACAGUAAAUCUUAUCCUGAUAUAUUAAACAGGCCACAUAAUUUGGAAAAUCUUUUGGUCAAAAUCCAUUGGAUCUGAUUAUGGUGAAUUCGGUAUCGGAUGUGGCCAUAAGAGAGAACGAGAAAUUAAUCAGAUGAAAUACUAAAGAAAAGAGAAGAAGCACGUGUGAUGUGAGCUCGAGAAGAUCUUUAGUGAAGGGUUUAAUAAGCUAAAAACAAUACACAUAAGAGAGAGAGAGAGAGAGAGAGAGAGAGAGAGAGAGAGAGAGAGAUGCGCACGAAGAUAUAUAGCGACCUAAAACCCUACCUUUUCAAAAAAAAAAAAGAAAAAAAGAUAACAUAACUUGAUUUUGGAAAGAUUUUUUUUUCCAUUCUUUUGAUUGUAUUAACCUCAUAAAAGAAAAUGAUAAACAACUCAUGGAUGUGGAGCUGUUAUAAAUUCAUGUUUGGAAAGAAGAAAAGAAAAGAAAUAGCUGAUAAAAGAGAAAUAUCAGAUCUACAAUCAAACAAAGAAGCAGCAAGUGAGAGAUAAAGAGAGAGAGAGAGAGAGAGAUGCGCCACAAAAUAUAUAUAGCCAAUUAAAAUAAACCCUUUUGAAAAAAUUGAAAAAAACACCUAUAUUGCAGAUUUAUAUAUCAUCUGUGACCAUAACUUGAUUUUGGAAUGAUUUUUUUCUCUUUUUCUUUUGAGUGCAUAAACCUCACAAAAGAAAACAAAGAACAAUCAUCUGAUUUGGAGCUUUUAUAAGUUCAAAAAGAAAAAACCCCUAAAAACUUGCAAGCAAACAAAUAGCUGAUAAAAGGGAAAUAUGAUGAAACUUUUGAUGAAAUGAAAGAAAUCAUCUGAUGUGGAGCUUUUAUAAGUUCAAAAAAAAAAAAAAAAAAACCCCUAAAAACCUGCAAGCAAACAAAUUGCUGAUAAAAGAGAAAUAUGAUGAAACUUUUGAUGAAAUGAAACAAAUCAUCUGAUGUGGAGCUUUUAUAAGUUCAAAAAAAAAAAAAAACCCUAAAAACCUGCAAGCAAACAAAUAGUUGAUAAAAGAGAAAUAUGAUGAAACUUUUGAUGAAAUGAAACAAAUCAUCUGAUGUACGCUUUUAUAAGUUCAAAAAAGAAAAAAAAACUCCUAAAAACCUGGAAGCAAACAAAUAGCUGAUAAAAGAGAAAUAUGAUGAAACUUUUGAUGAAAUGAAACAGCAGCUGCAGGAGCAGAAGAACAAGACCUGCAGAGUAACUGAAUGAGAUUCCCGAGACAUUUGGUGAAAUGAAGGAGGCUCGCAAAGUAAAGGAAAAAGCUCCUCUUCCUCUUCUUCUUCUUCUUCUUCUUCCUCCUCUUCUUCUUCUUCUUCUUCUUCUUCUUCUUCUUCUUCUGCUAUUAAUUUAUAUGGUCAUUGUACCAAUUGCCCAUGGUGAGUGGUGGUGGUGGUGCGGGGGGGCGGGGGAGGGGGAAAUUAUGUGCGGCACAUUCGCAUGCGACGAAGAAGCUACCGCCGUCGGAUUGCUCCCACACGAAUCUCAAAGCACAGCGUGGGGCACGGAACGUGCCUCCCAUGGAUGCCUUCGCAAUUAAAUCUUUUCCUUCCCCUGUUGGUGGGUCCUCUAGCCAAUAGUCGGUGCGGAAAUUAAACCCCUUCUUUUGACCAUUAAUGUAUAUAUAUAAAAGAAUUAUGCUUUCGUAUAUCAACUUUUUAAUGUAUAUAUAUAUAUGUUACAAUUUACAGCUCAAAUUAAAACUAACUUCUCCAAAGUUCUUUCCCUUAUUACUUUUUAUUAAUCCAACAGGAAUUAAUAAUCUAAACACUAGAAGGGAAGUGUCGUAAUUAAAACAGACAUGCCAUUUUUCUCUAUAUAAAAUAAAACAAAAAUUUGAACACAAUUGAGCAUUGUUACGUCCAUAACCCACAGUGGAUUGUUAACCUACAAACAUCCAAUUCAAAGCCCACUUUUGCUCUAUAGGUCUCAACACUCUUAAUUUUAUUUUAUUUUUUUUAACUAAAAAGCAAAUUAAGGGAUUAGUAAACUCUAGAACCCUUGAAUAAAGAACUGCAGAUAUUACAACAUCUUUUUGAUUGUAGACUUAGCAUAUUAAUUUCUUAACAAUAAGAGCAUCUCACACCUCUCUCUCUCUCUCUCUCUCUCUCUCUCUUCUUCCCCUUGANUUUUAUUUUAUUUUUUUUAACUAAAAAGCAAAUUAAGGGAUUAGUAAACUCUAGAACCCUUGAAUAAAGAACUGCAGAUAUUACAACAUCUUUUUGAUUGUAGACUUAGCAUAUUAAUUUCUUAACAAUAAGAGCAUCUCACACCUCUCUCUCUCUCUCUCUCUCUCUCUCUCUCUCUCUCUCUCUCUCUCCCCCCCCUUGUUGCCCCUACAUAUUUUAGUUUGUUGACUCAUUCCGCAAAUCAUGUGAGAAACCCUAAUACGUUCUACUACAAGAUAAGGAUAAAUGUUUGUCUUGAAGUUAAUGUGUUGGUUUUAAAUAAAUUUGACUCAAAUUCGGUAACGAAUUAUAUAUUUUGAAAGAAAAUUAUUUUUCCAAACUACAAAUAGAAUAAAUAACAUCACAUAUUUGGAUAUUUUAGAAAGGAAAAUGCUUGGAUCCUCCAUAAUGUUGUACUUAUAUAUUACUAAUAUAUUAGCAAGUAUAAUAUAAUUUACAGAGAGAAAAACAUAAUAUAAAAAUUUUAAUUUGUUCAUACAUACUCUCAAAAUUUAUAUAAAUUUGUCAAUAAUAUAUAAGAACAAUUAAUAUUGUUUAUAGCAUAUAUACUAUUGCACUAGUCUUUUUAAAAUUUUCUUUUACGUACAUAUAUAGGUUGCAAAAGAUUGGCAUACAUUUUGCACGUAAUCGUGAGAUCAUUAAUAUAAUACACGGCUAUGAUUUCAUUUUUCUCCAGCUGAAGAAUAUGUGUACAACCUACACAUAAUAUGCAUGCAUCAAAAUUAUGUUAAUACAAAAGAAGAUUGGGAUUAAGCAAUAUGCUAGGUUUUCAACCCAUUUUAGGUUGCAAUUCUAUAUCUACUAUAAUCCCGAAGUCACUUUUUCUUUACAAGUCUUAUCAUUUUUCUUUUAAACUAAAAACCAAGAAAAGAAUAGUAAACCCUACAAUUCUCGGAUGGGGUUUUAUAGAGAUUAAAGACACAAAAGUUGAAGAAUCUAUAUGUAGAAUAAUAUCAUGGUUGAACAUACAUGGGUUCUGUCAUCUGUGAGGCACCUACUGUGUGCAAAUGUGAACAUGGACCCCCCACCCACACAUAAGAACAAGAUGAGGUGAGAGACUUUCACUGUGCGUUCCAACAUGGCUCUGAUUUUGUUUUCUCUCCUUUUCUUCUGCUUAAAAAUAACAAGAAAAGAUGGAACUUCAACAUCAAUCUCCACCUCCUCUUUUUUUUCUUUUCUUUUUUCCUCUGAGAGACUCUCCAUCAAUAUUGUUUUGAAAAACCAAAAAAGUCAAAGUCAUAGCUUUAAGAUUCGAGCCCAGGUCCAUUACUAGGUCGCUAGGUUGAAAAGCCAAAGCGCAUAAUUUUGAGUGAGUCCACGUACGGGCGUCACACAUGCAUCAUCCAUUUGAGUGUCCCUUCUAAGUAGGCGUCGUUGAAAAGCCAAAGUACAUAUUGAAACAAAAAGAAAUAAUUAGCUUGCUCGUGAGAGAUGUGGCAUCAUCUUCUACAUGCUUUGAAUUCCGAUCGAGUCGUAUUUGGUUUCAAGAAAAAGAAAUAAACCCGACUGGACUAGUGCUAUAAACAAUAUAUAUAUAUAUAUAUAUAUAUAUAUAGAGAGAGAGAGAGAGAGAGAGAGAGAGAGAGAGAGAGAGAGAGAAUCUUAUAAGCUACACAAAUUAAAAGAUUUUAAUUUAAUUUUUUUUUUUCCUUCCAAAAGUUUUAACUUCAAGUAUUUAAAGUUAUUUGCAAAAAUAAAAAAAAAAUCACGAAUUUUGAACACUUGCUUCUAUAGAUUAUUUUGUUUUGUUUUGUUUUCCUAAAGAAACCAGAUGCUUUGACAAAGAUAAAUAUAGGCUUCAAGAAAGCUAAGGUUGCUGAGAAGCUGGUUCAUUCACUAUGACCCAUCUUUAUCUUUGUUUUCUUCACAAGCCAAAAUAAUUCAACGCAAAAUCAGGCCCACUAAAGCUUUCAAAAUGGUCUUGUAUGACUAUGAAUUAGGUUUUACAUAUCUAAUCUUUCAUGCCUUUACAUAAGGAUAUAUUUGGGAAGUUUUUAAUUUGCUCUAGGUUACGAUUCGGUACUUAUAAUUAACGACAUCUUACUGUUUUUGGUUGAAUAAAUUAAGCUCUUCUUCGAUCGAUCAUAACCCUUAUAGAAGGGAAAAAAAAAAAAAUCCAAAUAGGAUCUUGGACACGAGAAAAUCUACAUUGUAACACUUACAUCACAUCAUCUAUUCUCAGCCAAUUACAUCACUUUUUUAAAAAGUAAAGUAUAAUAAAAAUAUUUUUUUAAUAAUUAUGAUGGAAUAGAUGAAUUUAAGAAAAAAAAUCUGAUUAAUUAAAAAUAUUAUAUCAGAAACAUCACUGGUAUAUUUUAAAAUUUUUUCCUUGGCCACACCAUACACGGAAGUACAAGGACGUGUAGGGCAAGAAAAUCAAGCAGGUAGAUGCUGCAGGGGUUGUUGGAUCUCUCGCUUUCGCGACUAAGUUACAUGUGGCAUGCAGCAUGGGAGGGGCCCAUUCUUUUGUCAAACUCCACCACUUGUAUUAAUUCCAUGAUGAAAUAGACUUCUUCUUUUUUUUUUUUUCUUUUUUUUUUGUGCCAAACUCCACCACUCGCAUAUUGAAAUAGAGAGCAGUACAUUAUUCAAGAAUAAUUUAGAGAAUGUUUUAGUAUGAUUUUAUGUAAGAAGUUCAAUAUUUUGCUUCUUUAAAAAUUUUACUGUCUAUGAUUUAUUAGGAUAGUAUAUUUUAUCUUUGAGGUGAUUUAUUUUAUUAUGAAAAAAUGACUUAAAAUCUAAACAUCAAUUUUCUUCUAAAUAUUUGAUCAUAAUCCUUAUUAGUCGAAAGAUAGUCAAGCGGGCCGUUAGUUUCAGUAAUUUAAUUGCAUGUUGGAACAACUUAUUCGGCACAAAGUUUUUCUUGUGUGCUAAAUUUAUUUUUACUUCUUGAUUGGAAUUUUCAUCCAUAAUAUAUAUAUAUUUUUUUUGAGAAAUAGGUAGCACACUAUCCGCUUCGUUUAUUUCAUUUAGAAAUAAACUUAGCUAGAAAUGUGAACCAACUAGGAUUCGAACUUGGAUCUCGGGUACCAACUACCAAGCCCUUUGCCACUUGCUCUAGGGGCAGUCGGUAUUUUCAUCCAUAAUUUGAUUAGAUAACAUAUUUCACUUGCAAAAUGAUUUAUUUUAUUCCGAAAAAUUGAUUAGAAAGUUGUAGUGAGUAUACAUUAAUUUCAUUGUCUUAUUUUAGGGUUUAAUCACAUUAUAUAUUGCCUUAUAUAUAAGGUCUUAUAUUUUAGGGAUUAGAAAGUUGUAGUGAUUCACUAUAUAUAUUGUCUUAUUUUAGAUGUUUAAUCACAUUUCUUAUCACCAAAUGCUACGAUUUCUUGAGAAAAUUAAAAUUACAUCCAGAAUAAGAACUUGGUGAUCGGUACCCGAGGUUCCAAGUUCGAAUCCUAAUUAAUUCACAUUUCCAGCUAAGUUUAUUUCUUAAUGAAAUAAACGAAGCAGGUAGCGUGCUAUCUAUCUCUCUCUCUCAAAAAAAAAAAAAGACCUUAAUCAAAUCACUAAUUAAUUUGCAGUGAGUAUAUAUAUAUACAUUAGUUUUAUAUAAUGUCAUCCUAACGAAGAAGAAUCCUAAUAACAACCGGAUAAUUAAGACAAAUUAAGACUCAACUUGUGAAUAAAAGAUACCGGCUAUGGGCGCACAAUAACCUGUAAGAUAAAAAUAAGAAACAAACUCUUUUAACUUAUAUCAUGCACCUAAUAAUUUUUUGACCCUAUCAAUAUCUUUUAGAUAAUUAACCAAGUGGCAAAGUACUGAAUGGUUCGUAUCAUAUUUCUAAUUACUUCAUAUUUUAAUUAAAAUUAUUUUUUUAAAAAAAUGAAUAAAAUAAUAGUAUGCUAUCAUUCUAGAAACCAUGCACGAAUCAGAUUCCGGCUCGAAUCUCUGAGCCCAUUGAGGUGUCAAUUAGAAAUUUUGGUUUACUUAAUUACCGUAUAGUAGUUUACUAACUCUACGCGGAGAGUGUGGGGACGUCGCACAUUAACAUACAAGACCAAAGAAAAUUUUUUAAAAAUGAAAAUAAUAAUAAUAAAAAAAAAAACAAUUGAAAGAUAUAGAGUAUGUGUCUCCCUCAGCGUCACGCGUAUACAAAUAUAGAGCUUUAAUUCUUUUUAUUUAUUUAUUAAGUGGUAUCUUAAUUAAAUUUUUACUAUUUUAACAGUCGAUCGAAUGAAGUUGUUAGUUUAACAAUUAAAUAUAAUAUUAAUAAAUUGAUAUUUUGUUAGACGCUGUGAUGCAAUUGAUCAAUAAUUAAUUACUAGCUUGUUUUCGUUAGGCCUUAUUUAUUCAACCUUAAAUUAUUAAAAAAAAAAAAACUUUGGGCUCUAUAUUCCACCCAAUUUUGUAACUAUAUAACCACAAUUGGGCCGUAGGCCAUAGUUCCAAAUGGGCUCGAUUAUACACGACCCUAACUUGAAAUUAAGCCCAACCAUAUGUUACUAACUUGAAAUGAGUCAAAAAGAGGUGUACAUCCUACACCUUGUCCGUUGGAUGGUGUACAAGUAGUAUUUUUCUACUCUAGUAACUAACGUCCUUGACGCGUUUAGCAUCUUUUGCUAUCCUAUUCAUGGAAAAGUUCCUCCAACCUAAUCUCCGGAUUUUGCUUUUUAAGUCCAAGUGAUCCCAAUUAGAUGCUACAAUUUUCACCAAUCAUCUCAAGGCCUUACUCUCUUAGAUCUCUCUCUCUCUCUCUCUCUCAUGUGUUGCCUUAAAACUUUUAUGCUAAUCUUUUCCCCAACUCCGAAAAAAGCUACUUAAUUAAUGUGACUCCAAAUUAAGAUGCAUCCAAUUCUCAAACGUCAGCAUAAACAGGAGAAGCACCAGCAACCAAACAAAAACCCACCAUUCCUUAAUUUGUCUCCACCUGCUUCUCAUUGUUCUCUUCCUCCCUUGUAUUUAUCUAUGGUUACAAUCCCAGGACCACACUCUCCCUUAAUACCUCUCCUUUUAUUUUAAGCACUAAAAAACAAACAAAGCAUCUAUAAUAAUCUAUAAUUAAAGAGGAUAAUAUAUAUUCAAUAAUGACAAAAAACCAAAACAAUUUGUGUUGAGAGUGGGAUUUGAACCCACGCCCUUUCGGACCAGAACCUUAAUCUGGCGCCUUAGACCAACUCGGCCAUCUCAACUUAUCUAUAUCAUUUCUUCGUACAUUUCUAAUAAUCUAUUUAUCAUACUCUAGUAAAUAGAAAUUCCCCAUGGAUAAGAAUCAAGUUGGGCGUGUUUGGUUCGCUUCUUUUUUACUCUGGAAUCGGAAUCGGAAUGGAUGAAUCCGUUUGUGGGUGUUUGGUACGCGGGAGUCCCAUUCCGAUUCCAAUUCCCGAGUGGAAUGGGAAUCUCCCAAUCACCCCUUUUUUCAAUCCGGCCUGGAGGCCGNCAGGUCUAAUUAGAGUAUACCGAAACAUUCGUCGUUUACAAUUAUAAGGAUACAUCAACGUGGUAUGUUUAUAGAAUCUAAAGAUGAACGAUUGACAUUCUUUUCUUUAAAGUAUAGUUUGCGUAGUGAUGAACCAGUAGCGAUAACGAUACUAAUAAAGUACAGCCAAGAGUAUAACUCAAAUCUUAAGAACAAAGGUAUCAACGCUCGUCAAAACUAGAAACUUCGGAUGCUCCCUACAUCCGAUAAUUGUCACCCCUCGGCGAGUGAAUAAAGGAGGAGAAGAAAAUACGCACUGUUUGGUUCUAAUUAUUUAGUUCGUAAAGUGUUCUCAUCUGGUAAAUUAAUGUAAUCCGAGAAGUCAUACCACUCUUCCUUUAACUCCGUGGAAUCAUAGGUUUUCUCUACUAAAUCAUAAUGUAAACAAAGAAGACUAUACAAUGAUACUUAAAAAAUACAGUGUGUAAAACAUUACAUGAUACAAAAAUUACGUAACGUUAAGAAUAAAACAGGAACUAUAAAUACGUCUUCGUCGCACUCUUAUGUAUGCUUCGAAGCUCCUUCGGCUAAAAUGGUGGUCUAAAACACCUCUUCGUCUCUCGCAUAAAGCGUCUCUAGCUAAGUAAGCUUGACGGCCUCCUCCUCCAGAGCCUCUCACUCGACCUAAUCGGCGCACUUUACUGCUGACACGUGAAGAUAUUGUACGAUCACGCCAUCCUUGAUUAGAAACAUGUCGUGUACAUAGUUUCCAUUGACCCCUAAAACCGGUACUUCCGACAACAUACGCAUGGGGUAACAUUUUAACGGUACAUUGGGAGUUGUAAAAACCUACAUAGGAGGUAGUUAAAGUAAGAUUAGGCACCCCUUAAAGAUAACUAAAUGAAAGGCAAGUCUCCUUAAAGUGACGCACCUCUUUUUAUCUAAUAGUACUUACAUGAACUGGUCCUAUAUCAACUAAGCUGACAUUUACCUCCUACAAAUCACUGAUACAAAUUAAAGCAAAUUUCUUGGUGCAAAUUGCUCUAAGGACAUGGAGGCAACAGAAUAUUCCACAAGCAACAUAAUAUUCUUGUAGAUGAUAGAAUAUUCUGUCGAGUCUAAUAUACUGUAAUAUUAGGCAUUACGGUCAAAAUUGUUGAAACUAAUGUUUCGAUUGUAAAAUACGUAAAGGCUCUGCAUUUUUAACUUAAUACUUCGCAUCCCAGGCUCAUGUAUAACAUAAAAUUAUUGUAUUAUAUUUUGUAGGAUGAUGCAGGGAGGCCGGGGCAACUCCCACGUGCAGCUGGAGCUCCUACCGCCGCCCGCCCGUGAUGUUUCCUUGGUUCCAUGCUUGAUACUGCUACAAGAUCAGUUGCUUUGUCUUUCAACUCCUUCCUGAAUCUUAAAAUUGUUUCGUGAGGGUCAAUUUUGUUCAGAGUUUCAUGUGACAAAAAUUGUGUUACGUACCUGACUCGGCGUAACCCCCAUCGAUGAUGAGAUCUCGCUGAGAUGAGGACGGCGUCGAGGAUGAUGGUCUUUGAUCCGACCCAGAGUAUUGCAGUACCAGGUAAGGAAAAGAGUAAGCUAAGAUGUGGAAGAACUUAAGAGGGAAGAGUUUGAGAAGGAGAAGAAUAAGAGUAGAUAAAAGAGGAGAAUAGAGAAGGAGGAGGAGAUUAAGUCGAGAAGAAAAUCAAUAUCAAUAUCAUUCAUAAUUCCUUCUAGGUUACAUCUGCCUCUUUUAUUAUCUCGUACAUCAUACUAAAAUGAAAAAAAUAUCAACUCCUAGGUAAUAAACUGAAAUUAAGAAAAAAUCAAGAGUGUGGGCCAGUUGGCCUUAAUUUGUAAGGCCGAUGCACUAUGUCGUCAAAACCUGUUUUAUUGCGUUCAUGAUUCUUGAAGAUCUUGUUGGAUAUUUACCGGCUUUCUAAUAUGAUUUCGUCAUCCAUGUAGGAAUGGCUUGUAGAUUGCUGCGGGUGAAAUUUUGGUUAUGGAUGUUGAAACUAGUGAUCAUCUGUCCUUGUGUUUGAUGAUUCUUUGUUAGUUGUAUGAGAAGAUUGUAUUUUGAUCUCACUUGGUGCAUGCUUUUAAAGAGAUCAAGCUUCGUGUGACGCAAGAAAUUUACCAUCAAGGUAACCAGAGCAAACAUAAAAAAUAAAAAUCAUACUUAUCCACAAAUUAAAUAUUCAAGUAAGAAGAAGAUACUUAUACGGAGAGAGAUUGAAGUAUGAGACAUUACUAAUGCAUGAGAUGCAGUGUGAAAAGCAUCUCAAAUUGAAAGCAUCGGUUUAUUUUUAAUUCUGACUUCGUUGAACCGUUCUUUGUCCGGAUUGAAAUAAAAUAAAACCAUAUGGAAACACAAUAUUUAUACAACAACGUGUACGUCAGUAUGUGCAAUUCAACACCAAUAGGGAAAUUAAUUAAGCAUGAAUUAAUUGUUGUUAAUUGCCGUGCUGAUCCAAAACCAUUUUAUCUAUUUCUAUUCAACCCCCAGGAAUCUUUCAACCUGCACCAUAAACGUACAAAAAUAUAUAUUAUGUAUAUUCAUAUGGGCAUGCAUGUUAGCUUAGCUAAUAUCUCCAAAGACGAAGACAAAAAAUAUAUAGGCCCUUCGAUUGAUAAGUAAUUAUUAAACUAAAUUUCUCUAUAUAUGUUGGCACCGAGUCUUUGAUGCAUGCGCUUCAUUGCUUUAAUCUCUCAACACUCCUUCACAUUGCUAUUUCCUGUUGCCUUCUUUCUUUCUUCCUCCGCCCUUCGGUAUGUAUACAAUGGUUUAUUUUUCCUCGAAACAACUUAAUUAUUUUGAGAUUAUUUUUUCUGUUUUCGGGACAGGGUAUUCAAUUAAGUGCAUUUAGUUGCAUGCGCGCAUAAGCUAGCAUAUUUUUGUUUAAUUCAUUUGCCAUACAUAAAUAUGCUUUACUCUUGAGUUUAAUGGGAACUUGCAUACAUACGUAUACCAAUGAAUGAAUAGUACAUGCAUGCAUGGCAUGUUCCUUUUCUCAAAUGUCAAGUAAUUAAAUGCGUAUAAGGGUGAAAACAAUAAAAAUGUUCGGUUUAUGAUCAAUUGUUCGUAGAAAAUAAAAGAUUCAGAGACUAAGGAUUUGAUGCACUUUGAUUGCUACUGUUUCCUCUAUUUGUCACCUUCUAAGCUUUUUGUCAUUAAAUCAAGUAUCUAAUUUUUAUGUUUUAUCACUUUCAUUUAUUCUUCAAAACAUCAGAGAAUUGUGGAAUAAAGAAUGUUGGUACGUAGCCUCGACCCGCAAAUUAUUCAGUCUAUUUUGUGAUGGACAGUGUUUAAUUAUUACAAAUUUAUAUGUGAAUAGUUUCAUAGCUAAUUUAUUAAAGAGUAAAUGAUUGAUAUAUCGAAAUGGAUCUUGACCUAAUAAGUUUAAGCAUUUAAGGCUAGAUGAGUUAUAUCAAAUAUGCCAUAUUCUUCAAUCUAUAUAUAUUCUUGGAUCCAUGUAGACUUAGGAGAUAUUUUGGCAGUUUUAGAUUACUCGCUUAAGUGGUGUGGUUGAAUCGAGUUACUAGCUCACACGAACAUGACGGACUAAUGGAAAGAGGUCAAUUUAUAUAAUGCGAUAUGACGGCUUAAUGCAAUCAAAAUAGUUGGAUCAACAAAUUAAGCAUGUGUUAGGCAUAUAAGCUCUCGAGAGGCGUAGGUUCGAUACAUCGGCUUGGACGAUCACUGGAUUUGCAUUAGGUCAAAAGUCAUUAAUGGCAUGGCGUGCGUAAAGAGUAUUGACUUAGUGCAAUGUUUGAGGACAUUGUUAAAAUUUUGUACAUAAUCAGUCUCGCAUCAAAUAACUAAUAUAAAACGUAAAUAAUCUAUAUAUACAUACCAGUGAGCUCAAAGCUAAUUAUAAACCUAAACUUUUUGGUUGAAUAUGCAUGAAUGUGUUCUGCAAAAUUUGUCACAUUCUUAGAUCUACUGGACUUGAGCUAGGGACCUCUUUUUACAUGGCCUGAUUAAUAUUGCUGGAAAAGCGUCUUUGUUGAAGAUAAUUAUCGCGCAAAGGUACUGGGAAUUGCAUCGUGGCGAUGCCAAUCAAUUGAUCAUCUUAAUUAUGAGCGUAAUGCAUUGUCAUGAAAAUUUAUAAUCAUAUUGACCUACCAAUAAACUAAAAUCAAAUUGUUGCAGUCACAAAAGAUAAUCUCUAUACUUGGCAAAUUAUAGACAGCUAGUUUAAAUUCUUAAGAAAAUGCUAUUCUUACAAACUACUUCUACAACAAUCUAUAAUUUAAAAUUUAGUAGUUAGGUUUUAUAUAUUCUUUGUCUUAGGAACUACAACAAUCACCUCAUGAAUGGUACCAUUUUGCCAAUUAAAAAGGGCUACAUAAUUAAGCAAAUAUAUUAAAAAUUAUAAAAUUUAGGAGUAAACUUCAAAUACUACUCCUAUAGUUUCGCACUUUCUCACUUUACUACUCUAUGGUUUAAAGUGUACCAAUUUAGUGUUCUGUGAUUUCAUUUUUUUCUUUUCGUCAGUUUCUUUGUUAAUAUUUUGUUAAAUUAUAUACAAAAAACUUCAGAUACCCAUAUAGAUUUAUCAAAUAUUCACUUUAAUACUCUUUAGUUUUAACUUUAUUACUGAUUUAAGAAAAAAAAAAUAAUAAAAUUGAUAAUAAAAAGAGAAAAUAAAAUCACAGGGUACUAAAUUAAUACACUUUAAACCAUAGAAUAGUAAAGUAAAAAAGUGUGAACCUAUAGAGUGAUAUUUAAAGUUUUUCCUAAAAUUUAUCUGUAAGUAGAGCGUUACUCAAAUUCUUAGGAGCUGGCCGAUAUAUGGGCUGAAGAGCGUUACGAUCCGGACCGUAUUCACAGUUCAAGAACAUGUAGAGUGCAGUUUCGGAGUCCACGAACCUACGGCCCAUUAGAGACAAACUGGAAGGCCCAUUUAUGGAGGAUUAGGCUGGGCUUAUGGGGCCGAGCUUCUCCACCAGAAGGUCUACAACCCAAAUUAAUGGGCCUAAUGUUUGUAGUGGGUUGGAUCGACCACGUACAUCCAAACCAGAAACCAAAUCUAUAUAAUUAGCCCAGGCAUACGUGCCCUCGUUUUCACCAUGCAUGCAAAUUAGCUUAAAGAGCAACAAUAUGCAUGCAUGCCCUAGCUAGCUAGAAGUUGAGUUGAUCAACCUACGUGUCAAACGUGCUUGAUGGGUGAGAGACUCUCUCUCUCUCUCUCUCUCUCUCUCUCUCACAGAGACACACACACGCUCUUCUCUAGAGAGAGAGAGAGAGAUCUCACACGCACCGGCUUCUCUCUCUCUCAUUCGCACACACUUCUCAAGAGAGAGAGAGAGAGAGGUCACACACACCCACCCACCCACCUCUCUGUGUACCUCACAAACACACACAUAGACUUGGCAAACGGGCGGGUUGGGUAAUCUGCGGGCGGGUUAUUGUACCCGCGGGUUACUUGGGCAUGGAUAAAAUUUAUCAGCAAAUUUUUGGGUAGCCAACAUCUUUAUCCAUACCCACCUGCGGGUGGGUGGCUGGGUAUGCGGGUUACCCAUAAUUUUUAUUUUAUUUUUUGCUCUUAUAUUUUUUAAAUGCAAAACACAAAUAUAUAAAUUUUAAAAGUGUAAUAUAAUUUAUUAUUUAAAAUAUCAUAACAUACAAUAAAAAUAUUUAAAGUCUUAAAGUAAAAAUAUUUCAUAAUAUAAAAGACACGCAAUGAGAAAUUAGGAUUAGAAUUUUUAUGAUGGAUAAAUAAAAAAAAAUAUUAAUUAAGAAAAUAUAUUUGUAAUUAAAAAAUAUGUGUGGGUACCUGUGGGUACCCGCGGGUUAUCCAAAAUACUCAUAGCUUAAUAGGUACCCAUCCGUUUUACCCGUAAUUUUUUGGGUUGGAAAAAUUAGUAUCCAUACCCGCAAAUUUGUGGGUAACCCGUGGGCACCCGCGGGUUUGGGUCGAAAUUGCCAGGUCUACACACAUACACACACUUCUCUCUAUAGAGAAGAGAGAGAUCUCUCACAUACCCGCUUCUCUCUCUCUCUCUCUCAUACGAACACACUUCUCUAGAGAGAGAGAGAGAGAGAGAGAGACUCACACAUACACACCCAACCACUUCUCUCUCUACCUUACACACACUUCUUUCUAUAGAGAAGAGAGAGAUCUCUCACAUACCCGCUUCUCUCUCUCUCUCUCUCUCAUACGAAUACACUUCUCUAGAGAGAGAGAGAGAGAGAGAGAGGUUCACACAUACACACCCAACCACUUCUCUCUCUACCUUACACACACCUCUCUCUAUAGAGAAGAGAGAGAUCUCUCAGAUACCCGCUUCUCUCUCUCUCUCUCUCUCUCUCUCUCUCUCUCUCUCUCUCUCAUACACACACACACUUCUCUAGAGAAAGAGAGGCUCACACACACACCCACCCACCUCUCUCUCCCUCACACACACACACGCACACACACUUCUCUAGACAGAUAGAUCAAUAGAGAGAGAGAGAGAGAGAGGUGGGUGUGAGAUCUCUCUCUCUCUCUCUCUCUCUCUCUCAAGGAGAUUAAGUUGGUUGGUUUCUAAAUAGACACAAAAUUGACUCAUGCCCUAUCCUUUGUUCAAAAGAGAAGAACACUGCUACGCUUAAUUAUCUCAAGUUCCCUUAGAUAUGGAAACGGCACAAUCAGUUAAUUAGCUAGUGCUUUUUUGGUAUAACUUUUUAAAUAUUAAUUAAUCUUAUUCAACCACGGCGGUUUCUUACCUCAUCGAUAUAAUAGAGGGAAGCCUUCUAGGGCAUGCACAAUCUAAAAAUGUUACUCAUUCUCAAUUAAUCAUUAAUUAAUUAGAAGCUACUUGGUCAACACAAAUGCAUUGUCAUCAAACACAAAUAAUAAGAAAGCAAAGGACAAGAACUGUAAUCAAUAUUCAGUAAUAUUAAUUACUGUAAAAGACAAUGUAGUCAAGUUACAGAAUCCUGCAAACGACUUAGAAAUUACCACAUUCAUUUUUUGACCCAUAAAUUUGUACAGAGCCCCACCACAACCAGGAUUACAAGACACUAACUAUACAACAACAAAGCCAAUGUCCUCCUAAAACCUUUCGGAAAACAAAGCCAGUAUUGAUCGAUCGCCUAUUAUAUGUGGAGACAGAUAAAAUAGACCAAAACAACAUUAACGAUGACAACAACAACAACAUCUCUAGCAAUCUUUCAUAAAAACUCUCAGCAAGGUCCCCCAUAGACAACGUUUUGGAGGUAAAUAAUCACAGUAAUUAUGUGUAGCCCAAAACCGAGAUUAACUUCCAUUCAUUUGGUUAUGAUUGAAGCGAUAAAUUGAAGUUGAUAGAAGUUCACUUCUAUCUGAAAAUACGAUUUUUAUGUUAUGUCUACUUAAUCACCCCAACCAAACGUUCCGUUGGCUAAGAUAGCACGAUGAAGAGCAUCACCGCCCCCGCCAUGAUCAUAACUAUUUGCAGCAGCAAACUAACAGAGUAAAAGAUUUCAACGAUCGAAGCCCACAUUUCGCCGUGCUGCGGUUCAAACAUGAGGCCUAUCCAGAUCAGGCCAGAUUCGAUGGCCAAGAGCUGAAAGAAUGCGCAGACCCUUAUCCCUAAACUCAUGUGGUCUUGCUGUGGUGCGAUCCCCACACUUGCCACGCAUAUGGCUGCUAGUAGGCCACCAUUGAACGAGACCAGCGUUGCAAUGCCGUACCUCAUCACACCCGCAUAGCGUGGGUCAUGGUAUAAGGGUCGAGCACUAGUUGGAUCUCUCAGGCUGAUACCAAUAUCCUGGGUGAAGUAUACACAGAUAGGGACGAGCACCAGCAAGAACACGCCUACGACCAAAGUUUCCAAGAACUGCAUGGCAAGCGCAGCGGCUGAUAGCCCGAGGAGGACCAAAAUAGCAGCGCUGCUGUAUCUCACAAAGCUUAAAAGGCUCCCUCUCCAAAAGGAGUAAUGAACAGUUAAGGGGAUGGAGGUGACCAUCAUAACAAAGAUGCCAACCAUGGUGAUCAGGAAGAAGAGACAUAGCGCAAGUUGGAAACUUUGCAAUGCUUGGAGAGGAGGGCUUUUGAAGGAAGCAUAAAUCAUACCCGUUUGUACGGUGAUGGCCAUUGUUGCAAUAGUAGUAGCGAACUUGAAGGCCUUCUUCUGCUCCGGUUUGUAGCUGUUGAAGAUGUGCAGCAUGCAUGUUAAUUGAAAACACCGUUAACCCUAAGCUUUUAGAGGCUGCCAUCACCCCUCAAAAAUGAUCUAAGUAUUAGAUUAGCCGAUUCCGUUAUCUAUUAGUAAGUUUACCGAUGAAAAAAUGACCUAAGCUCAUGUAUGUUUCAAAUUAAAGAGCAAAUUACAGCUUAGUUUUUACAUGAACAUAUAGUUCUUCAACUUUUCAAAGCAAAAUUAUUUCCAGCAGUCAAUACUUUUUUAACAAAUAGAAUUAGAGGAACAUAUUACUGCCAGGUUUUUUUGUAAAAAAAAAACACUAAAUUUAGUACCCGAGUUGACAUGCGAUAAACGCACAAGCUAAUAAUUUGAUACAUUUAUAAGAAGUUCAUGAGAUACUAAUUCAGUUCACCUGAGAAGAGUAAGAGUAAAAGUAAAAAAAGUUUUAGGCUAACAGUACUAUCGAAACUUAUAACAACACAUUAUGUACCUUUCAUGGUUAACACUGUCGCGGUCGUGAACAUUUUGUGUAGCUCUAUAUCCAAGGAAGCAUAUGAUAGCUAUGACAGGAAUUACAAUAAGACUCAUCCCUGCACUGUCUUUGUUCAGGAGUACUAAGGAGAAAAAGCUUGUCACAAUUAAAAGAACAGAAGAUAUGGUAAUCGCGCUAAUCAGAUAUAUCUUCUGGUUUCGGUUGAUUCGAUUAUAACGUCCGAACAGAAAAAAGGCAUACAUCAACAACAAGAUGGGGCAUUGAAGAGUGGGCCAGAUGAAGAAAUUGUAGGCUUUGAUAACUGUGGAGGAAUAUUGCAUGGCUCUUAUAUCUUUAGCUCCAUUUAAAAAUGCUAAGAGUAUUGCAGAAGCCAUGGUUAUUAUCGCAACUGAGAAAAAUAUGAUUCGUUUCAACUGGUCCCUAACAACUUUAGUUUGCUGUUCAUUUUCUCCUUCAUUUCCUGAUUCCAGUUGGUUUAUCUGCAGUUAGGUUAAACAAGUAGUAAGUGUUUUGUAUGUGCAUACAUAUGUAUGUAUGAUUAAUUGGUUAGGCCACAGCAAAUUAACAAACAUAUUUAGAAGCUAGAGAAGAAGAGAGCUUCAUUUUAUAUAUAUAUAUAUCUUAGGCACCAUGAGAUAAUUCAUUAACCAAAAAAUUUACUAUUGGCAGGGUCAAAAGUUUUAUGGUGAAAAUAAAGAUGACAAUUCGAGACAUAUAAAACUUAUAGAUGCAUCACGGGCAUAUAAUUUUUACUACAAGAUGCAAAGAUUAUCAUAUCACAAGUUUAUAAACUCACAUCCAUGUAUACAUCUCAUCAUGUCUGUCGUUAAGAUGACAAAUCAACAUUAACCCACCAGUGUAGUCAGCUUAGUUUUUGAUUGGUCUUGUUUCAUGAAAAAAAAAAAAAAAAAAAACUUGGAAAUACUUGGGUUGGUAUGUUGCAGCUACUAUAUAUGGUAGGGUAUAUAGUUCUAAGUAAUACCACGAUAUGGUACCAUAAGAACCAAUAAGAAUAGUUAAUUACGAAUUCAUUGUUAAUAUUCAAUGAACCUGCAGUGAUGAUGCAUAGGAAACAAUAAUCUGAUCCAGAUAUAAUUAAACAGGCCAAUUAAUUUGGAAAAUCUUUUAGUCGAAAUCCAUUGGAUUUGCAUGUGGUGAACUCGGUAUCGGAUUUGGCCAUAAGAGAGAACGAGAAAUUAAGCGCGAAAUACUAAAGAAAAGAGAAGAAGUACAUGUGUUAUGAGGUCGAGAAGAUCUUUUGUGAAGGGUUUAAUAAGCUAAAAACGAUACACAAAAGAGAGAGAGAGAGAGAGAGAGAGAGAGAGAGAGAGAGAGGCGCCAUGAAUAUCUCUAACUACCGAAAAACCUUACCUUUUCAAAAAAAAACAUCUGUACUCAUUACUUGAUUUUGGAAAGAAUUUUUUUUUCUUUUUCUUUUUCUUUUGAUGAAAUGAAAGCAAUCAUCUGAUGUGGAGCUUUUAUAAGUUCAAAAAAAAAAAAAAAAAAAAAACUAAAAACUAAAAACCCUAAAAAACCUGCAAGCAAACAAAUAGCUGAUAAAAGAGAAAUAGGAUGAAACAUUUGAUGAAAUGAAACAGCAGCUGCAGGAGCAGAAGAACAAGACCUGCAGAGUAACUGAAUGAGAUUCCUGAGACAUUUUUGGUGAAUUGAAGAGAGAUCGGCCUUUUGAUUAUAUGCGAAUACGCAAACUAAAGGUAAAAAGCUCCUCCUCCUCUUCUUUUCCUCUUCUUCUUCCUCUUCUUUUUCUUCUUCUUCUUCUUCUUCGGAUUAUUUAUGUUGGUCAUUCCACCUAAUGCCCCACAUGAGGGGAAAAAAAAAA